UUGCAGGUAAAUUUUUUUAUGCUCUUCCAUUUCUUUCAGCUCUUCUUUUCCAUGGUGAAUGGGCCCAAUGGAGACUAGUUGAGGCGUGUAGGCAUAUUCCUUCGAGUCGCGUAGUCUUUUAGGAACUCUGUAGAUGGAACACUUACUAGAGAAGGCAUGCAAGGUUUUCAACUCCCCUUCCACAGACGCUGUUAAUUUGUCAAUGUCAAGCGAAACAUGAUCAUUCCUUUUCAUCUGCUCAGUUGUUGUUCCAACAAUCUCCAUCCUGUGACGCAAAUCUCAAUUGAUCAGAUGUUUGCCGGAAUCACAGAGAAUCAUCAGAUCAAUCAUUGAAAUGAUCUCUACAGUCAAGAUUACCAAAUCAUUUAAUUAAUACAGAAGGAACACCCUUUUAUUUGUAGGACGCGAUCGAAAGGGUAGAACCUAUUUCACUUGAAUGACAGAACACACUGUUUGUAUGACAGUGAGUAUUAGAGGAGCCCCAGCUGCAACAACAGAGAUGGAAACCCAUGGAUUUUGGAAAUAAUUAUGUUUCAGGGCUGCAAUCCAUUUGUGCCUCCGCUUUCUGCAGUACUUAUUCAGAUCUUCAACGACAUCAGCAUAAUAAAAUUUGUCAAGGGAGACCCCAUUUCCUCUGUCAAGAUCAUGGAGAACACUCUUAACUGCAUCAUUAUCACAGAGUCAAUGUAAACCUAUCAAAUCUAUUAUCUCGAUCAUGAAAAUGGUAUAACCCCAUAAAAAGCAAAUGAAAAAAGAUUACGAAGCUCGAUUCCUAACCAAUUUAAUGUGAAAGUAUAAACUCAUAGAAAGCAAAUGAAAAAAAAAAUCUUGAAACUCGAUUCCUAACCAACUAAAUAUUAAAGGAAGAAAUUGAAAAAAUCAAAUAAAAAAACAAAAAAAAAACCUAAGUUAACCCGGGUUGAUUUGUCAAACUCACAACUUGAAUCAUGAGAUUGAGAUAACCCUGAAUAUAGUAAGAAAAAAAAAUUACAAAGUUCAAAUCCUAAACAGCCAAUGAUAAAGUAAAAAAUAGAAGAAAAAAAAACUUAGUCCACUCGAAUUAACUUGUCAAACCCAUAACUUAGAUCAUAAGAUCAGGAAAACCCAUAGAAAAAAAAAGAAAGAAAUUACAAAGCUCACAUCCUAACAAACUAAAUGCUAAAGGACAUUUGAUUUUUUUUUUUGAAAGGACCAUAAAAGAUGAUCCAAGUCAUCCAUGGUUAAACUUGUAAACCCGUGACCUGGGAUUUGAAAUUAGGAUUACCCCAUAGAAAGAAAAAAAAAAUCAGAAGCCAUUUAACCAUCUCAAUGUUGAAGGAUGAAAGUGAAAAAAAAAAAAUAGUAAUCAAAAGAACCAUAAUCAAAUUUGACAAAAAGAAAAAAUAUGACAGGCCACUUUGCUAUUUUCGAGAGGGCCACACACGAAAAUCGAGGAAUGUGGAGAGAGAGAGGAGAGGAGAGGAGAAGAAAGAAAAGAAGACGGCAACAUCGGUCACCUUAUAGCAAGAAAUGUUGGAGGACUAAAAUGUAUUUCACAAAUAAAUUUGAAAGUAUCAUUAUGCUACUUGUGUUUUUCAAUUCAUUUCUCAGUCUUAAAUGAGAAAUUAGAAAGAAAAAAAAGCCAAUUAAAAAAAAACUGAAUUAGUUGGGUUAACCUGUUAAACUCGUGACCUGAGUUAUGAGACAUAGACAAUCCAAUAAAAAAAACAUAUCCAAUGUUGAAGGACACGUGACCUGGAUCAUGAUUCUAAGAUAUGACUACGAUAACCUUUUAGAAAUAAAAUAAAAAAAUGAUUUAAUUUAACCUGAGUUAAACUACCAAAACCUACGACUUUGAUUGUGAGACUAAAUAUCCCAAUUGAAACCAAAUCAAAACAUAUUAUGAAACUCAAUUCUCAACCAACCUUGUGUUGAAUGAUGAAAUUUGAAAAAAAAAAUUAAUUAAAAAAUAACAUAAAAAACAGCCAAAGUCAAUUCGGAUUAACCCAUUAAGCACUAUUGAUCUUGAGUUACGAGGACGAAAUAACAUAAUAGAAAGUAAAAAAAGAAAUAAAUUUUGAAGUCUAAUUCUCAAUUAAUCCAAUAUUAAAGGAUGAAAUUGAAAAAAAAAAUUAAUUAAAGAAAAGAAAAACAUGAGUCAAUCAGGUUAACCCGCUAAACCUAUGAUUCAUAUAAUGAGAGUGUAAUAACUCAAUAAAAAUAAAUUGAUGAGAUUAAACAAAAAAAAAUUAAUUGAAAAAAAAGAAAAAUACUAUUCAAAUGAAUAGUAAUAAUGCUUUGCGAGGAGGGAAGGUGUGUUUGGGAACACGAUGCAGACCGUGUUCUCAAAAAUUUUGAAUUUGUUUUUUGCUUAAAAUGAAUUUUUUUUUAAUGUUUUCAGAUUGUUUUGAUGUGUUGAUAUCAAAAAUAAUUUUUUUAAAAUAAAAAAAUUUUAUUUUGAUAUAUUUCUAAACAAAAAGUAUUUUAAACUAUCACCGCUAAUCACAAUCCCAAACAAGUAGAGUGAAAUCCUUUCCUUAAUUUAGUUUAUAGUUGAUAGUUUUUCUAUUGAAUCUAGGUUUUCCCUGGGCAUACGACGGCUAAGUUGACGAAGGUUAUACUUAUAAUGAUUCCCUCUUUUUGUAACUCUUAAAAAUUUGACAUUUUCAAUUUUAAAUUAGUUUUUUUUUUGAAUAAUUUCGUAGUUCAUAUACUGGAUAAAGAUCCACUCAACGAGUAAAACAUGUAACUGAUCUUUACACUCACUGUGCUUGAUGGAGGGUGUAAGAAUGGUAUAGGAUCUUUCUCCAACGGACAAGGAUUCUUUAUACUCACCAUGCUUGAAGGAGGGUUCAGAAAGGGAUGUGAUCUUUUCUCCAAUAAACAGGAAUUUUUUAUGUCGCAUGUUCCAAAUUAUUACUUUUUUGUUUGUUUGUUCUAAUAUGUUACUGAAGGAUAAGCAAGAAGUGGAAGAAACCAACAGGGAUUAGUUACUGAAGGAAAUACAUAGCAAUUUCAGAAGAGGAAAUCACAGAGCACACUGUUUAUUUACAGAAAAAAAGAAACAAAAGAACAAUUGAAAUGGCAGAAUCUAAACAACUUGAAUGAUAGAACACACUGCUUGUAUGACAGUAAGUAGGAGGAGCAUUCCAGCUGCAAUAACAGAGAUUAUGGUCCACGGAUUGUCGAAAUACUUCUGUUUCAGGUCUGCCUUCCAUUUGUGCCUACGCCUUUUGUAAUACUUCUCCAGAUGUUCAACGACAUCAGAAAAAUAGAAAUCGUGGCUGACAAUAUUUUCUUUGGAAAGAUUGUGGAGAAGUCUUAAGAGGGCAUCGUUAUCACGUAGCCAAUUCUCUAUAAUUCCUUUUCUUGCGAGUAUUUCUAAGUCCUUGGAAGCAUGAACAACCAAAUUGAUCAUCGUGAUAUAGUUACCUAUAAAACCAGAACCGAAAUGGCAUUGCUCAAAGGCUUGGACAUUCCUGAAUAACGUUUCUGUGCUAUCCAUAAUCUUUAAACAUGGAAUUUCCAGUGUCCCUUUAUCAGCGUCGAAUUUUAUGUCUAGUAGUUUCUUGCUGGACCCCAACUUAAACCUGACUCCAGCUUGAUGGAGAUCCAUUGCACUGGGUGUGCUUAGAGUAUCAAUUUCCUUUUCCUUUAGCUGUUUUUGCUCCGUUGGCUGCUGACAGAUUCUCAGAAAAGCAACAAAAUGCUCUGCUUCAUAGAAUUUGAUUUCCUCCAAAUUGUCCUGGGGCACCCAUGAAGACCAUCUCUGUGUUAAGAAUACAGAGGUAAGCUUCUUAAAGGAAAGAGGACACCAUAUUUUGGAUAGCUUAAUCAAGUCUUCUAGAAUGAAGAAUGGAAGCUGAUUUUCAAGCAAGCACAUGUCCCUGGAUACAUCACUGAACAUCCAAGGUUUACCGAAUAUACGGUCAUUUCUGAAUUCAAUAUUUCCGAAGCAAUACCUCAGUAAGAACAUAAUGACGAAGGAGCAAUCGAGAAGCAUCAUUUUCACAAAUUUUGCACUGCUAAGCUUUUCAAAGGUUGCCGCAUAACAGUUUCGCAAUCUAGUUUCCUUCUUUGCAAUAAAUGCAAUAAGAUCCUCAAGGCUUACCUCGCUGUAUUCAAGAAAAUCUUGAAGGUACAUUUUCUUAUGCUCUUCCAUUUCUUGUAGCUCUUGUUUUCCAUGGUGAAGUGGGCCGAUGGAGACUACUUGAGGUGUAUAAGCUCGUCUAUUUAACUUGAGUAGUCUUUUAGGAACCCUGUAGAUUGAACACUCAUGGGAGAAAGAACGCAAUUUAUUGAACUCCUCUUGCAUGGACGUUGCUAACUUGUUAGUGUCAACCGAACCAUGAUCUCCCUUGUUCAUCAGCAGAUCAGUUGAUGUUCCAGCAAUCUCCGUCCUGUGACUCAUUGAGUGAUCUCUACAGUCAAGAUUACCAAAUCAUUUAAUUAAUACGGACGCGUAAACAAAUUCCAACACAAAUGUAAAGAGGAAAUGAAAAUAUCACACAAAAUAUUGUCAAACAUUCACAAAAAUAUUUGGAAGGAAUCGAAUCUGAAUUAUUGCAACAUACGUAGCUUCUCUAAAUUACAACUUCCAUACUUAGAUUUGCUUCAAAACAUAAAUAGCGAAAACACUCAGUAGCUCUAGGUUCUUUAAUGUUCUGUUCCUGCAUUUCUCCAGCAGUUCUUAUUCUACACAAAGUCUUCGUCAAUGUAGACUUUUGCAGCUAAACAACAAAUCAACAUUAUCAGGUGGGGUUGACUACAGCUGUUCAUUUUUUAAAGUAAUUUUUAUUUCAAAUAAUUUUUAUUUUAUUUAAUUUGGCCUGCCGAGCCAAAGGAACUCACUGCCCAUUCAUCAACCAGCUUGCGGCAUGGCGCGGCAGUUCUCUCCUACCAACAGAGAGAGAAAUUUAAUUGUCUUUCUUUCUUCUCCCUCCUACUAAAAGUUUCACUUUAUAAACCUCAUGUUAAUUUCUCUGCUUUCUAUUGUCUAACCUUGCAAUGUCUUGAGAGUAUGCUUUGGUGCAAGGGCGGAGCCUCGUAGAAGGCUUAGGUGGGCUGUAGCCCAGGUAAAAAAGUUAAUGCCGAUCUAAAAUAUCAAUAGUUUCUGAAUUAAUAGGAAAGUAACCCAUGCUUUUCGUUCCAAGUGGAAUGCCAAAAGAAGCAAGCAAACGGCCUACCACUGUAAAUGCGCAAAGUUAGUCACAGGGAAAGGAAAGCUCCAAGUUGUUUCUAACCUUCGACUCAUUAAUUAACUUUGAUGGCUUGGUUGCUUGUAUUGUUUAGCUUGUUCCUUCGUGGUGUCAUUCUUUCAUGUCAUAAAAAAUCUAAUAAUCCACUUUUUUGUUUUUCAUAAAACCUAAUAUAAAUAAUUAAUUGGUUGUUUUUUUUGUCUUUUGCAUAAAACCUAAACACAAAUAAUUAAUUGGUGUGAGAAUCAGAUUUACAUGUUUUUCAAGUAACAUAGAGUUUUAGUUUUUUUCUUCUUAACAGUAUACCGAGAGCUACAAAAAUAUAAAAUUACCUAGUAAGAAUUUACAAACCCUAACUUUUCAUUUUAAAUUCAAUAUUUUACAUUCAUUGUAGUAGAUUGUACCCUAAAAAUCUAAUAGUUUGAAUACGUUAAGUUUUUUUCAUACUUUAAUGAGUCUUAAUUUAUAGGUUAUGAUUCGCUGAAUACCUUGUUAAAUGUGUUGUCUUAAUUUGUGUAUAGUAGAAGGAAGUGUGACCAAAUUAUUUAAUGAUAGUUUCUCUUUCAUGUUUUUGUUUUAAUGAACCAUUUUGGACCAUAUUUUUUUAAUUUUUGAAACCACUUCAAGCCAAGCUAACAUGAAUUUGAGUUGAGCUUGAACAAGCCAAGGUUAUACAUAACAACCAUAACUAAAGUUACGGGGACACAACAAAAAAUAAACACAUGAAAAAACAUGACAAGAGGGUUGUGAGGUUCGAAUUUAGUCUUAUUAAAAAACAUAAAAUAAACACAAGAAAAAUAAUUUACUAAUUAAUUAUUUCAAAAUUAAGUUCCUCAAAUCUCCUGUAGUCUACAUCACUAUUUUAUCCUUGUAUAUUCUGCAUUUCAUAAAUAUUCUAUUGUGACAUUAGUAUCUUUUCAUCUGGCACCUAAUUUUUCUAAUUCUUUUUACUUGAAUAGGUUAUAAAUUAUAAUGGAAAAUCAAUGAAGUAAAAAAAGAAAAACUAUGUUUCAUUCUUUAAACCAAGCGGACAAAUAUCAAUCAGUAAAGGAAGAGAAGUUCUUAACGGAUUUCAUGAUGAUUUACAUUGAAUGCGAGCUUGUUGAAGAUAUUGAUUCAGAUUCUAUCAUAGAUGAAUUCUAUUCUACAAGACAUCGAAUGGUGCAACUUUGAUAGUGUAAUUUAUUUUUAUUUUUAAUUUUAUAUACUUUAAAUUUUAUUUUAUUAUAUUAUAUAUAUAUUAUGUUAUGUAUUUAGAUUCAAAUUUUAUUAUUAACUUAAUAAAUUCAUAUAUACAAGUUAAUGAUUGAUCUUAAAAAAUAAUUUAUAUGUAUCUAUAAUAUAGCCCAGGGCAGAAAAAAAUCCUAGCUCCGCCCUUGCUUUGGUGGCUCUAUCUGUGAAAACUAACGAGCUGGAGAACAUGGCAAGGUUUAUGCAGUGGGAGGUUCGUUUGAUUACCUGCUCUAAGGUAAUUAAUCCAACCCUAUUUAUCUUUUGUUUUUUUUAAUUAUUGUUAUUGAUGUUUUGCAUCUGGAUUAAUGAAUUAGAAUGUUAACUUUAUUUUAAUCACGUUUAAAAGAAAAUCUUAAAAAUAAUUUUUAAUCAAAUCCUAGCUAUAAAAGUGAAUAAAUUAAUUUCUAAAAGUCUUCUUCGUCAACUUUUGGAGUCUUCCAGGUGGACCACAAACAAUAAGUGGGGUCUGUUCCAGCUGUUGUCUGUUAGGAUGGAGAUGGCAGCUCAAAUCCCAUGUUGGGUGUGAGGCCUUGGGUUUGGCACAAAGUCUUUUUAUUUGUAAAACCUAAAAACAAUAACAGUAACCAGACAGAUAAAAAUUACAAAUAGCUGACAUUAUUAUAUAAGUAUCUGACCGAAACAUGACAAUUUUUUUCUUGGAAGGAACGGAAUCUGAAUUAUUACACCAUACAUGGAUCUAAAUUACAAUUCACCAUCACUUUUUGUUUCUAAUAUACAUCUGGUUUGUUUGUUUGGUUGGAGUUAGUUUUUAAAUAAUUUUUCAUGUUAAAAUAUAUGUUAAUGAUAUAUUUUUAUUUAAAAAAAUUAUUUUUAAUAUCAGCACAUCAAAAUAAUUUAAAAAUAUUAAUAAUAUAUUAAUUUAAAAUAAAUAAAUAAAAUUUAAAUUUUUUUAAAAUGUGAAUUAAGUCUUCGUCAAUUUAGACUCUCCCGGCUGGAUCCAAAUCAACAUUAAUAAGAGGGGUCGGUUCCAGCUGUCUUCUUGUUGAGUAAAAAUCAGCAGUAAUACUAAGUGGGGUCGGUUCCAACCAUGGAUAUUUAGUUACAAAAAUUAAAUGCCUUUAUAUGAAGAGAACUUAAAACUAGAGUGUAAAUAUUUUUAGACACAGAAACAGGCAGAACACAAGGUAAGAAAAGUUUCAGAAUUACAGAAGCAAAAGAAAGUUAUGUAGAAAAUGAAACUGUAAAAUCUCCGAGUUCGUUGAGUGCAUAUGAAAAUGACAUGAUUUAACUAUGCAAGUUUGUAUGGUUUAACUAGAGUUUUUUAUUUUAAAAAAAUUAUUUUUAAUAUCAACACAUCAAAAUAAUUUAAAAAUAUAAAAAAUAUAUUAAUUUAAAGUAAAUAAAAAAAUUAAUUUUUUUCAAAAACAUUUUUAAAAUAUGAACCACUUCUUCGCCAAUUUAGACUCUACCGGCUGGACCCCAAAUCAACAUUAAUAAGAGGGGUCGGUUCCAGCUGUUGUCUUGUUGAGUAAAAAUCAGCAGUAAUAGGAGACUCUUUGUUUGCGUGAUUGUUUCUGUAUUUGUAUCAAUCACAGUAAAACAAACAUUUUAUAAUGCUCCAAAACAUAAUUAAUUUCUGGUGAGGCCCAUUGAGUUUGUGUUUAAAACGAAGUUAAAUUGAAAGCAACUCUCAACUGCCUUUUUUUUCUUUAUCUGUACUGUUCAUAACUGAACAUUAUUUUUUAAAAACCAAAACAGUACAGUGAAUUUAUAUAUUAAUUCACUAGUACUUUAAUGAACUAUUUAUUUUUUUUAAAAAAUUAGUUUAGAGUGAAUUAAAUUUUCUUGUAUUGUAAUCUCAAUUAUAUAUAUAUUUUUUAUAUUUAUAUUAUAACCUCAAUUUAAAAGGUAUUAUUAACCAAACACAUUAAACUAUUUUUUGUUCAAUCUCAGUUUUAACCAAACAUAUAAAUAUUAAAUCAACCUUAAUUAAAAAUAUUUUUUAUAAAAUAAUUUUUUUAAAAUUAGAAUUACAAAAACUAUCAUAAUAUCAAACACACUCAAGUGGGGUCGGUUCAGCCAUGGAUAUUUGGUCACAAAAAUUAAAUGCCUUUAUAUGAAGAGAACUUAAAACUAGAGUGUAAAUAUUUUUAGACACUGAAACAGGCAGAACACAAGGUAAGAAAAGCUUCAGAAUUACAGAAGCAAAAGAAAGUUAUGUAGAAAAUGAAACUGUAAAAUCUCCGAGUUCGUUUUUUCUGGUUAGUAAUAAAGAGCGCAUGUGAAAUUGACAUGAUUUAACCAGAGUUAAAAUGAUAUAAUUUAACUGGAUUAAUCUAUAAAACUUGUUAUUUAUAUUAUAAAAAUAUGAUAAUUUAAUAAAAAAAAAUCUAAUAUUAAAUAAUGAAAUUAAAUAAAAAAUUAAUUGAAAAAAAAAUCAUAAAAAAAAGAAAACAUCACUACUCAAAUAAAUAAUGUUUGUGAAAAGAGAUAAAGUAUAAUCAUUUCGUCAAUUUAGUUUAUAGUUAUAGUAGUUUCUAUUGAAUCUAGGUUUUUCCUGGGCAUAUGACGGCUAAGUUGACGAAGGUUAUACUUAUAAUGAUUUCCUCUUUUUGUAACUCUUAAAAAUUUGACAUUUUCAGUUUUAAAUUAGUUUCUUUUUUGAAUAAUUUCGUAGUUCAUAUACUGGAUAACGAUCCACUCAACUGUGCUUGAUGGAGGGUGUAAGAAUGGUAUAGGAUCUUUCUCCAACGGACAAGGAUUCUUUAUACUCACCAUGCUUGAAGGAGGGUUCAGAAAGGGAUGUGAUCUUUUCUCCAAUAAACAGGAAUUUUUUAUGUCGCAUGUUCCAAAUUAUUACUUUUUUGUUUGUUUGUUCUAAUAUGUUACUGAAGGAUAAGCAAGAAGUGGAAGAAACCAACAGGGAUUAGUUACUGAAGGAAAUACAUAGCAAUUUCAGAAGAGGAAAUCACAGAGCACACUGUUUAUUUACAGAAAAAAAGAAACAAAAGAACAAUUGAAACGGCAGAAUCUAAACAACUUGAAUGAUAGAACACACUGCUUGUAUGACAGUAAGUAGGAGGAGAAUUCCAGCUGCAAUAACAGAGAUUAUGGUCCACGGAUUGUCGAAAUACUUCUGUUUCAGAGCUGCCUUCCAUUUGUGCCUACGCCUUUUGUAAUACGUGUUCAGAUGUUCAACGACAUCAGAAAAAUAGAAAUCGUGGCUAUCGACAAGAUUUUCAUUGGCAAGAUUGUGGAGAAGUCUUAAGAGGGCAUCGUUAUCACGCAGCCAAUUCUCUAUAAUUCCUUUUCUUGCGAGUAUUUCUAAGUCCUUGGAAGCAUGAACAACCAAAUUGAUCAUCGUGAUAUAGUUACCUAUAAAACCAGAACCGAAAUGGCAUUGCUCAAAGGCUUGGACAUUCCUGAAUAACGUUCUUCUCCCUCCUACUAAAAGUUUCGCUUGAUAAACCUCAUGUUAAUUUCUCUGCUUUCUAUUGUCUAACCUUGCAAUGUCUUAAGAGUAUGCUUUGGUGGCUCUAUCUGUGAAAAUUAACGAGCUGGAGAACAUGGCAAGGUUUAUGCAGUGGGAGGUUCGUAUAAUUACCUGCUCUAAGGUAAUUAAUCCAACUCUAUUUAUCUUUUUUUAUUAUUGAUGUUUUGCAUCUGGAUUAAUGAAUUAAUGAAUUAGAAUUAGAAUGUUACCUUUAUUUUAAUGACGUUAAAAAGAAAAUAUUAAAAUUAAAUUUUAAUAAAAUCUUAGCUAUAAAAGUGAAUAAAUUAAUUUCUAAAAGUCUUCGUCAACUUUUAGAGUCUUCCAGCUGGACCAUAAACAAUAAGUGGGGUCUGUUCCAGCUGUCGUCGGUUUUGGCUUCCUUGCAAAUUAAUCCCGGCUCCGCUCCUGUUUAGGUAAGUAAUAGGUGAUUAAGCAUGUUGAAUGACAUAACCGACAUGAUUGAUCCAUCAUCCAUGUAAUCAAAGCUCUAUAAUUCAGCUUAUAUUUUCCAUCCCUGAAUUUGCCUUUUCUUCCCAAAUCUUAAAGCUAAUGAAGAUUUACAUGGUGAUUGAUUUUAGAAUCUAUAAAAUUAGGAAUACACAAGGUAAUAAAACUAAAUAAUUAAUAAUAAUAAUAAUCUAGACAUGCAAUUUAAUAAUAAUAAUAAUAAUAAUAAUAAUAAUAAUAAAAACUAAAUAAUUCUACAUGUUGCGUCAGCUAACCAGCCGCUUGAAACUCUUUUCUAGGCAAUGAUCUACUUCAUUGCUGAGGGAGCAUUGCUGUAGAAGAGGCAUCUGGUUACCGAUUGGAUAUUAAUUCUAACUUAGCUGAUUUAUAAUCUUUUGGAUUUUGAAAUUUACAAGGCAAAAUUGUCACCCAGGUAGUUUUCUUUAGGGUUCCUUGGCCUUUUAAUUUUUUUUUUGGUUAUUAGAAUCUACAAUUAUCUUUUCUCGAAAAUCCCACUACUAUCAUAUUAUCUUACCACUGUACAGUUUAAAAAUCUUAGGUAAACUUUAGUGUUUCUCAGGAGCAGGAGGAGGAUACUGUUACAUUUAAUGUUUGCAGCAGCUCUGCCCUUGUCUCAAAAUUCGUUUGGUUUUGCAUUUUGAAAGAAAUUAUUUGUUUUUUAUCUUAAAAAUAAUUUUUUAAAAAUAAUAAAAUAUUAUUUUAAUAUAUUUUUAAAUAAAAAAUACUUUAAAAAAUAAUUAUUUAUCAAUUUUAAUCGAAUACAAGUGUGAGCAGCAUGUCUAGAAAAAGUUUAGCAUUGUUUGACGAAUCAUUGUACAGGAACAUUUUUGUUUUUAUCUUAAGAAUUAUUGUACAUGUGCAUCUAAUGCGCUGAAGGUUGUCGUCACAGAUCAAUCAUACCAACGUAGAAAGUAAAACGAAGAUGCCUUCUCUUCCAAUCCUCGAGCACGGUUUGUUUUUAUGUUUUUGAUGCGUUUAUGUACGUUUAGAUACUGGUGGGCAGGACUAGACCAUGCCAUCACCAACUACAUCGGCAUCAAGAUGGUCAAUACCGAAAUCUUAGGGACAUGAUUUAUUUUUUGAAUUAUUUUCAAGUAUGGUAAGUAUUAGUUUUUAAAAUUUAUUUUUAAUAUUAAUACAAUAAAACAAACUAAAAAAUAAAAAAUAAAUUUGUAACCGAUUUCUAUCUGGAUUCAUGCUUCAUUAACACAUGCAUAUUUUAAAGCACCACAUGCAGGCGCAAGCCAAAAGCGAAAACUAGAGGGGUCGGGCCAUGAACCCACGGGUAAGGUCCGAAUCUUACAUCAAUAAAAAAAAAAAAUCCCAGACUGCAUUUUAAGUCACCAAAACGCACAGCUUAACACGUCUGCCUUUCGUUAAGCAAGAUUCUUUUUUUAAUCUGUACUUUUCUCCUUUCUGUUAUGGGUAUGAUGUUUUUUAAUUUGUAUUUCAUGAUUUUUUAAAUCUUUUUAUAUAUAUAUAUUUUGAUUUAUUAAUAUGAAAAAUAAUUUUUUUAAAAUAAAAAAUAUUAUUUUUAUAUAUUUUAAAAAAAUCAUUUUAAAAAUCAAGCUAUCGCACUGCCAUAUAGUGCAUUUCUUUGGUUUGGAUUCAAUCUUUCACUCAUGAUAUUGAAGGAGCCGUUCUUUUCCUCUGAUCACUUUCUUUUGAAUGAACCUUGAAGCGAAAUGCUUAGAUGUAUUAAUCUAUGAAGAGGUCCUCCAAAACCCUUAAAUGCUAAACUUCACAACUAGCAACGUAAAUAUCAUCUUAUAUGUUACAAAUAAUUUCAUGAAAAAAAUCUAAAAAGGAGUAAUUAAUAUGUUUCUGCAAGUAAAAACAACAGGACAAGUUGAGGUGUAUUUUUUAAUAUAUAUAUAUAUAUAUAUAUAUAUAUAUAUAUAUAUAUAUAUUCAACAAACAUAAUUCAAAUUCAAGGUAAAUUAAUUAUAAAUUAUACAAUACAAACACAAUGUCAAACAAAUAUAAUUUUAAAAUUUAAAAUAUUUUUAAAUAGUCAAGAUUUAAUAAAUCUUUAACUUAAAGUAAUUCAACUUAAACAAAAUAUCAAAAUAUUUUAACACAAAUAUUUUAAAUAUAAAGUUAGUUUACUGUAAUCAAGGCUAAUGAGAUCUAAAGCAUCAUUUGUUUUGCUCAAAUUUCUACAAAGUAUAUAUAAAUUUUUUUUUAAAAAAACAACAUGAAUAUAAACCAUAUAUAUUAGUGAUAAAUCUAAUUUUAAAAAAUUAAUAUCAUUGUUAAUGAAAAUAGUAAUAACAAUUUUCAAUAUUAUUAUUAAUAUCAUUGUUAUUGAAAAUAAUAAUGAAAAAGAACUUUUUAUACUUGGAUGGUUUAAUUAAUUAAAUUGAACUACGUUCAAUUUGAUUCAAUGACUUUUUAAGACUGAAACAGAACAUGUGGAAUGAAACCGGAACAUUCCUGCUGGAAUUUAACCGAAAAAUCCAGAACGCACCGAGAUUUAAAAUAAAAUGAAAAUUGUUUUGUAUUUUGAAUUGGUAUGAAAUAUUUCGACCAUUCCGGAUGAAACAAAACGAAAUUGACAACCUGAAUUUUGUAUCUUGUAUUCUUUUAUGAUCUGCUUUUAGGAAAAUCAAAGCCGGAAAAAACUAGGCAUUAGUCUCUUUGAGAAAUGCUAUAGCUUAAUUAAUGCGAUUAUAGUUGUUUGCCUGGUGAAAUUAAUUCAUGGGAUAUUCUUUCAUAAAUUAAGGUGCUUCUGUAAUGAAACUUAUUCAAGUUAUCAACUCUAUUGUCAUGCUAAUUUCUCAUGUUCAUAAUGAUGAUAAUGAAAGAGGAAAAACUGUAUCAGGAAGACCAUAAUGAUGAAGGAGCUAUCUAGCAACAUCAUUUUCACAAAGUCCUCUGUAACAGUUGCGCCAUUUCUCCAUCAGUUCUUAUUCUACACCAAGUCUUCGUCAAUGUAGACUUUUGCAGCUAAACAACAAAUCAACAUUAUCAGGUGGGGUUCAUUACGGCUGUUCAUUUUUAAAGUAAUUUUUAUUUAAAAAAUAUAUUAAAAAAAAAAUAAUUUCUUACUUCAACCCAUUAACGAUUGACCAUUUGCAUUAUCCUUUUGUCUUGAGGGUAUGCUUUUGGUUAGCUCUAUCUGUGAAAAUUAACGAGCUGGAGAACAUGGCAAGGUUUAUGCAGUGGGAGGUUCGUAUGAUUACCUGCUCUAAGGUAAUUAAUCCAACCCUAUUUAUCUUUUUUUAUUGAUGUUUUGCAUCUGGAUUAAUGAAUUAGAAUGUUACCUUUAUUUUAAUCACGUAAAAAGGAAAUCUUAAAAAUAAUUUUUAAUAAAAUCCUAACUAUAAAAGUGAAUGAAUUAAUUUCUAAAAGUCUUCGUCAACUUUUAGAGUCUUCCAGCUGGACCACAAACAAUAAGUGGGGUCUUUUCCAGCUGGUGUCCCGUGACUCGUUGAAUGAUCUCUCAUCUCUCCUGUCAAAAUUACCAAAUCACUUAAUUAAUACGGAUGCGUAAACAAAUUCCAACACAAAUAUUGAAAAAGGAAAUGAAAAUAUCACACAAAUUAUUGUCAAACAAUCACAAAAAUAUUUGGAAGGAACCGAAUCUGAAUCAUUACAACAUACAUAGUCUAAAUUACAAUUCACCAUCACUUUUUGUCUAGGCUUAUUUGAUAAUAAUAAUUAAUUAUGGUUGUUUAUUAAAUAACUUUCAUAUUAAAUAUAUAUUAAUGAUAUUUUUUGAUUUUAAAAAAUUAUUUUUAAAUAUCAAUAUAUCAAAAUAUUUAAAAAUAUUAAAAAAUAUAUAAUUUAAAAAUAAAAAAUAAAAAAAAAUAUUUUUUUAAAAAUAUUUUUAAAACAUGAAAAUAAAUAAAAACUAAAUCUUCGUCAAUUUAGACUCUCCCGGCUGGACCCCAAAUCAACAUUAAUAAGAGGGGUCGGUUCCAGUUGUUGAGUAAAAAUCAGCAGUAAAACUAAGUGGGGUCGGUUCCAGCCAUGAAUAUUUGGUCACAAAAAUUAAAUGCCUUUAUACGAAGAGAACUUAAAACUAGAGUGUAAAUAUUUUUAGACACUGGAACAUGCAGAACACAAGGUAAGAAAAGUUUCAGAAUUAUAGAAGCAAAAGAAAGUUUUUCUGGUUAGUAAGAAAGAGUGCAUAUGAAAACUACGCAAGUUUGCUUGCAGAUAAGACAGCGUACUGUAUUUUGCAGCAGAGGUUCUUUGAGAUAGGUAAGCGAGUAAAAUACGGCUGUUUCAGGUUUUUAUAAGAGAUACACAUCCUGAUUCGAACUCGAAACCUGCUGUGCAUAUCUCAAAUCUUUUACCAUCACGCUACACUCCUUGCAGACAAAUAUUUUUUUUUUUCAAGUCAUUCCUGGAUUUUAAAAUAUAAUUUAUAUUAUUUUUUAAUAAAUAUGAUUUAAGGUAUAAUUAUCAAACCUAUUCUAGCCGGUAAGUCGACUUGAAGUAGUCUAGCCACCCAGGCUUGAUUUCUUUUUUGAACCAAUAAAUCAACCUUUAACCUGUUUACUAUAUCAAACUUGAAUGAGAUUAAAUCAGGUUAUUUCCAAGGAAUUUUACAAAAAAUUAUCUCAAUGUUUUGUUUUUUAAAAACCACUAAAACGAUAUCGUUUUAAAACUAACCACUCUGUUACUGGGGACUUUAUUCGGGUAUGAUAAAGUUCAACAAGAUUUCCUGCUUUAUAUAGUUAUUCGAGACUCUUUUGUGUGAGAAUCCAAGGAGUUUUUCAUCUGUUCUUUACAUUUGUUUUGUAUUUGUUUCAUUAUCAGUAUCAUCAAAUAAUUUGUCGAGUCUGACAGACAGAAAUUAUCCCAGUUCAUUCACAGGAUGAAGACUGGCGAAGAAUCAAGCGAGAAAAAUGAUAAGGGAGAUCAUGUUUACAGAUUAGCAGCAAAUGUGAAAAAGAAUUUGGAAACCUUAGGAUGUCGAAAUUCUUGUUCGAAAUGGAAUUAUAAGAAACUGGUUGUCUAUAUUCGACUCGGAGCUAACCUGAAAAAAGAAAUCUGAGUUUUAUUAGAUCAUUAAAAAAAUUAUUUUUAUUAAAAAAUAUUUUUGGUGUUAACUCUACUGAGUUUGAAUCGAUUUAUUUUAAUUUAGUUUAGCUACAUACAAAUUAAAAAAAAUGUGUAUGGAUAAAAAUAAAUUUUGUUUUUGUUUUUAUUCACAGACGCUAGAGUCAGGAAUAAAAAUAUGAAUUUAAAUUUAUUUUGUUUUAUAACUACGUAAUAUUUACCAACGUCAAAGUUGGAAGUAUCCGUAGUUGAAUAUUCACUGGCGUCAGAGUCAGAAAUAUCACAUGCAAACCAGCAUAACAUAAACCAACAAAACAUUAGUAAUUUAUGACAAAAUUAGCAAUGCAGCCUGCUUCAGACAUGAUGUUUAAAGGGUGAUAAUAUCUUCCUUUUUGCGUAACCAGUCCCGUACUAUAGAAUCUUUGUUGACCAGUCAGGGUUCCUAGUGACCAUAAUACUAGGUGGCGACUCCUUAAACAAGAAUAUUCUCCAUCAAAGAAUAGGAUGCCAUAAUCCAUUCUUUUUGAUAUACUAAUUUUUAAGGCCGCCACGAUGUCGGGUUUGACACCAUUUAUUUUAAUUGUUAGUCUAGAUUGUUUUUUAAUUUAUUGAAUAUAGUUUAUUGUUGAAUUGACAUAAUUAUUGAAUAAUUUGUUGAAUUGUAAUUUUUAAUGUUGAAUUUACCUUAGGAUUAGUAAUUGAAUAUGUUGGAAUAAUUAGUAUAGAUUAGGUCAAUUGGUUGUGACUAUUGUUAAUAUUUGCAAGUUUGUGGAUUUGGGUAGUAUCCAGUAUAAGGGAAGUUGACACGGCCAAAAGAUUGAUGUCUUCUCCCAAGUGCAGGAGUGUCGAAGUAAUAAAUAACCCAGCAAGACCGAGGUCGAACCACAGAGAUGUUAAUUGUAUAAAUUAUAAAUAACAAGACAACAACAAUAAUAGUAAUAGUAUUAAUAGUAUUAAUAGUAGUAGUAGUAGUAUAAUAAUAAUAAUAAUAAUAAUAAUAAUAAUACUCAGUACGUGGCGUUGUUAUACCUGAGAAUGAUCUAAAAGAUCGGGUCACAGGUUUCCAGCCUAUAUACUGAUUUUAUGAUAAUAAUAGUAAUAGUAAUAAUAAUAAUAAUAAUAGUAGUAGUAGUAGUAGUAGUAGUAAAUAAAAAAAAAAGAGGAGGAAGAAAUUAAUGAGAACUUUGAGAUGGAAGAUUAAUGUAAGGAUUAAACAAUGAUAAAAACAAAUGUCAAGGUUAGAGGAUCCACUAAUGGUAUUUCAAACAAGUAUAAUAUAAACUCUUAUUAUUCAAUUGGAAACCACACACAAAGGAGGUUCUAAUCGGAUGAUUUCUCAUUAAUAGCUCAUUAUAAAUUAUUAACAUGAUCAUAUUAAUUAUCUUAUUUACAUAACACCAAACUUUUAAAUAUUGUCAGGAAUUCAUGAUUAACUGAUGUUAACAACAAAUCAAGUAUUUUCAUAGCCAGGUGUAGGUAAUACCAUACGGUUGGGCUAUGAGAGUGCCAAGCAUUUGUUGUACCAAGUGUUAUACAACACAAAUCUAGAUUAACCAUUUAACAAGCAAGGUAUUAAGAAUUAGUAAGAUAAAAAGAUAAGACAUGUUAAUAUUAAACAUUAAGUCCAUGUUGAGUUUACAUAUACUUAUUCUUACACCAUUAGUGUAACCUUUUCACCUUGACAUAAUAAACUUAGCUAAACAUAAUGAAGAAGAGAAACAUAAAUAAACAAAACAAGAACAUAAAAAAAUACAAGUUAACUAAGUAAAGGAAAGGAAAUGAAAAGCAUAAACAAGAUAUUAAUGAAAGCAAAACUUAAAAAUUACAAAAAAUAUAAAGAGAGAAAUAAAGAGCAUGACUUGAUCUGAACAACCAAGCCCCAAAUACAUGGCAAAUGCCUCCUUUUAUAGGCCAAAAUUCGGAAUUAUUGAUUUGAUGACUAAUUGUUGAGUGGGUGGCCAACUUUUGACUUGGUGAAAAUCCUUAUCUUCUUGUCUGAAUAAAACAAAAAUGCUACCAUCCGAACUGGGUCCUCUGAAAACAUGAAAGUUGUAGGAAAUUGACUCAGCUUUCCAGGAAAAAAAAAUGGAGGUCAUUUGGACUUCUAGAACUCCAGAUAUGGGCCAAACACUGAACAGUGUUCGGGCUGGACAGAUUCGGACUUCUCCGUUGUUGCUAUUUUGGACUUGAAAACGGCCUUCUUAGAUUUAUGUCACAUGAAAGUUGUAGGCCUAUGUCUUACCAAUUUGUGUAAAAAUUUGAGUCAUUUGGACAUCUAGAACUCGAGAUAUGACCCAAACCGAACAGUGUUCCAGUUUGGACUGCACCAACAUCUCUUUUCUAAGUUUCACCCUCUCUUUAUCUUCACAAAUUUCAGUAGUUGAAUUCAUCAAUCAAUCCUUUGAUUUAUGUGAUAGGCCUGCAUUUAAGAUGAACAUUUACCAUAUAUUAGGGCAUUUUAUAGUAUUAGACUUGUUAUUAUAAAACAUGCUUUAGUUAAGGAGUUAUUGAUACUUUAAGUGCAAAAUGAUGAUAUAAAACCUUGAUAAAUAUGCACUUUUAAGUACUAAUCACACCCCCCAACCAGCUUAUUACUAGUCCCUAGUAAUCAAAGCGUUAAAAUAGAAAAACAAUUUGCAAAUUCCAUAAAGCAAGGCAUUCAUCAUUCAACUUCCUUUAAUCUAUCCAGAUAAACAAACUCUCAUUAAAUUCAUAUAUCUGCUCAAUACCUCUUAAACAAGAUAUUACUAAACCUUUCUUUUGUGCUCAAAAUAUCAACAUAUAGUUAUGGGGCUUUACUUGGAAGAAAAACAAAUUUUUGUUCUAAUGUUUAAGGCUAACUUCCUUAGGUUGGGAUUUAUUUUUUUUUUCUUUUUUAUUAUUAUAUACACAUACAACUUGAAACACAAUGCAUCUUUAACCCAUGUAACGAGUUUUAGGCUAAUGACUCCCAGACCAGUUGGUCUUAGGGCAUUAGGUGUUGAGACACCCCUACGAGCUUAGCAACUCGGGUUGCAGAUACUGAUACGUAGAUAGUGCAAUGUUUGAUUCCCUUAAGCUUUUCUCCUCAACCCAUGUAACAAGCGUUGGGCCAAUAGCUCCCAAGUCAGUUGACUUUAGGGUAUUAAGUGUUAAAACACCCCUUCGGGCUUAAUUGCUUAGGUUAGGGAGGCUACGAAACCAAACUUAUCUACCUUUUUUAUCAUUUUUUUUUUUUUUUUUUUUUUUUUUUUUUUGCAAAUUAUAUACUAUCCCUUUCCCUUAGUUGUUACCUUUAACAAAAGAACAUAAAUAAUGUAAUAAUCCAAUGUGCAACCCACAAUCAUAUGUUAAAGUGUGUGUGUGAAAAUGAAGAUUUAAGAAUACUUGUUAAAUGAGCAUAUGAGCAGAAUCAAGUGCUACAAUACGAGAGUUUGUAAACCUGAAUAUUUCAAGAAGUAUUCUGAUAGACCUUGUUAAGAAUGUUUACUAAGAUGCGUCUCAAGAGUCACUUUAACAAAAGAACUCCUUUUACUCUGCCAUCCUAGUAACAACAGUUUUGCAAAUAGUUUAUGAAAUAGAAAACACAGUUUUUUUUUUUUUUUUAAUAUCAACUACUACCCUUUCCCCCCAACCAAAAUGAGACAUUGUCCUCAAUGUCCUAAGGUAGAAAGAUAGAGUAUAGAAGACAUCACCUGAAACAACGAACACUGACAAACCUGAAACACACUUAAACAAAUAUAAGAAAACAAAAAAAAAUAAUAUAAAAACCAAAAGACACAAAGUUUACAAACGAAGGCUCAAAUCCAAUCUAAGCUUUUUACGGCUUUCCUUAGUUGACCAAUUUAUGCGACUCAUGGAGGGAUCAAUUACAGGGAUGAAAGAUUGUAGUUGGUCAAUCAAUUGUUCAGCAGUAGCAGCAGAGAUUAUGAUUUGUCGUGCCGAAGAUGUUAGAAAUUGUUGUUCCACAGCUUGAUCAAGAAAAGAUAACAAAUUAUCAUAAAAACCAUUAACAUUUAACAGACCUAUGGGUUUAUGGUGAAUGUGCAGUUGGGCCCAAGAGGAAAUAUGAAAGAUCUCUUCCAAUGUGCCCAGACCACCUGGUAAGGCAAUGAAGGCAUCAACAUGGUUAAACAUUGUAUUCAUUCGAUCAGACAUUGUGGAGACCUGUAAUUCCUCUCCAAUUGUUUUUCCAAUGAUGUCCCCUUGUGCUAAAGCUUUGGGGACAACCCCCAAAACUUGACUACCUCCUAAAAAUACAGCUAUUGACACUCCCCCCAUUAACCCAAGGCUGCCUCCUCCAUACACUAAAUGAAUCUUUCCCUCAGCUAGUACCUGACCAAGAUGAUUUGCGGAUUCUAUAAACUCUUUUUCUUUCCCAGGACUAGAUCCACAAAAAACACAAAUAUUUUUUAUUUUAAGAGCUGAGGAUCCUGCCAUUUCAAGAACUGUCUAUACUUGUAAAAUGUAUGGGUUAAGUAGAAAUGAAGGGAAGAAGAAGAAGCUUUUAUAGAUGAGAAAAGGAAAUGCAAUCAUAUCACCUAUAUGGAAGCUAGCUGGAGUCUCUCUCUCUUUCUUCUUUUUUUUUAAAAAAAUGUGUAUGUACAGGUAGUUGUGAUUGUGGCUCACAUAUUCCCUUAGUUUUACGUCUAAGAACGGCUUAAACGCCCUCUAUGGGUCGAAGGAUUGGCUUCCCAUCCAGUUUUCUUAAAAACUAGCAAAAAUGGUCUUUUUUUUAGUCAGAUUCCCAAGACUAUGAUGAGCAUGUUCUUUAUGAAAAUAGGGUCAUAAAUCAUGAAUUGCACUAUGCACAUCUCCAUUGUGAUGAGACUUAAGAGUCAAUAGAAGAUUAUCUAAAGACUCUCUAUGUUUUGAAAUAAAUCCUACCUUUUGACAAUUUUCACAGGUUUUGCAGAAUGCAUAUGAGUCCUUGAACAUGGUGGGCCAGUAAAAUCCACUUUGUAAGAUUUUUACAGUUAUCUUUUUUGACGAGAAAUGAUCCCCACAUGCUUCAGAGUGAUAAAAUUUAAUGACACUACUUACCUCAUUGUCGGGAAUGCAUCUUUGAAAUAUUUGAUCAGGACAAUAUUUGAAUAAGUAAUGGUCAUCCCAAUAAAGGUUUUGCACGUCACCCAAAAACUUUCUUUUAACUUGGUUAUCCAAAUUAGCUGGCAAAAAUCCUGAAGCAAGAAAAUUGUUAUUUUUAGCAAACCAAGGCAUUGAACAAAGAGAAAGUAAAGAUUCAUCAGGAAAGUAAUCAUUGAUUGGUGUGAUGUCGGAUGUCGAAUCUAUUGUCAACUUUGAUAAAUGAUCCGCGACAACAUUUUCGGAGCCUUUUUCAUCAUCGAUUGCUUCCUGUUUGGUCAUGGCAUGAGGAAAUGGAAGUGCUGGUAGGGAAUCAGUCUUUUCUUUGCAAUGUUCAGAUUCAACCCCUUCCUUACCCUCAGAGAUUGACUCAUCAUCUUUCUCACAAGGUUCAAGAAUGGGUUUUUCAAUAACCUUACCACUGCGAAGAGUGAUGUCUGAUUUAACUUGAUCCAUGUGUUGACUUCUAGAACUACUUGCAUUUACAUUGUAUUUCUCCUUUGGAUUUUGUUGUGGUUGAGAUGGAAACUUACCGUUCUCUUGAAAACUGAGAGCAGAUGUUAACUUUGCAAGAGUAUCUUUAAAACCUGUCAUGCUUUGAGCAAGUUGAGUGUUGAUUAUCUCUUGCUUUUCAAUGAAUGAAUGCAAUGGUUCCUCAAGAUUUCUUCUAGAAGGUGGAGCAAAAGGAGGUGCAUAUCCAUGAAAAUUUUGGAAAAUAUAGUGUGCUUGAAACGAUGGCUGUGAAGUUUGUGCAUUAUUGUUAUCACUCUUCCAACUAAAAUUUGGGUGAUUUCUCCAACCAGGAUUGUAUGUUUGCGAGUAUGGGUUAUGAUUACGCCUUUGGAAACUGUUUAAAGCAUGGGCUUAUUCAUGGAGGCAUUCCUUGAAAGAAGGCAAAGUUGGACAAUCAUUGGUUGCAUGUUCAUUUGUUUCACAGAUUUGACACACAAUGUCUUAAACAGAUUUUAAUUGACCACUCCUUUUCAAUUCUAGUGCCUCGACUUUUCUAGCUAAAGAUGCAGUGGAUUGGAGGUCAUGAUCUUCCCUAAGGUUAUACAUACCUCCAUUAGAUGUAUGAGGUUGAGUUUUACCCGGUGCCUCAUAAGUGCCCGUAGUGUCCCAAUUUUAUGCAUUUUCAGCUAGCAAGUCUAGGUACUCCAUUGCUUCAUCAGGGUCUUUAUCUUUAAAAGUUCCAUUGCAUAUCAAUUUCACCAUUUGCCUAUCUUUAGGUGUUAAUCCUUUAUAAAAAUAUGAAACCAAUCUCCAUGUUUCAAAACCAUGAUGAGGGCAAGUAUUAAUCAAGUCUCGAUACCUAACCCAACAUUGGUAAAAUGUUUCUCCUGGUUUUUGAGUGAAACUGGUGAUUUGUCUUUUGAAAGAGUUUGUUCUAUAAGAUGAAAAAAACUUCUUUAAAAAUUGUUGUUGCAUUUCAUCCCAAGCACGAAUGGAUCCUGACCUAAGAUUUUGUAGCCAUGUUUUAGCUUUAUCUUUUAAAGAAAAAGGAAAAAGCUUUAAUCUAAUGGUAUUCAUGCUACAAUUUGAGUCAUUAUAAGUGUUACAAACUUCCUCAAAUUCUCUCAAAUGCAAGUAUGGAUUUUCUAGAUCUAAGCCGUGAAAAGAAGGUAAAAGUUGAAUAAUGUCUGGCUUAAAAUUAAAAUGAGAUGCAUCAGGAGGAAAAAAUAUACAUGAUCGCGCAAUUAUUCUUGUUGGAUUCAUAUAGUCUCUAAGUGUUCUAACCCGAUUAUUCUCAUUAUUCUCAUUAUAAAGCGAUUGAUUAUCCUCUUCGGCCAUGUUUUCUAAAAAAGAUGAGUAUACUUUACAAAGUUUAUCAUUUAAUGUACGUGACCAAACUCUCAUGCACGUGUAGAAAGAGAAGAAAAGGAAGAAGAAAAGAAAAAAAAAAAAAAACAAAAGAAACAAAGUUAGAAAAAUUAAAAUAAAUACUAUAAUUUAUACAAGAAUUUACCUCCCCGGCAACGGCGCCAAAAACUUGACACGACCAAAAGAUUGAUGUCUUCUCCCAAGUGCAGGAGUGUCGAAGUAAUAAAUAACCCGGCAAUGGCGCCAAAAACUUGACACGGCCAAAAGAUUGAUGUCUUCUCCCAAGUGCAGGAGUGUCGAAGUAAUAAAUAACCCGGCAUGACCGGGGUCGAACCAUAGAGAGGUUAAUUGUAUAAAUUAUAAAUAACAAGACAACAACAACAACAACAAUAAUAGUAAUAGUAAUAAUAGUAUUAAUAGUAGUAGUAGUAGUAGUAUAAUAAUAAUAAUAAUAAUAAUAAUACUCAGUACGUGGCGUUGUUAUACCUGAGAAUGAUCUAAAAGAUCGGGUCACAGGUUUCCAGCCUAUAUACUGAUUUUAUGAUAAUAAUAGUAAUAAUAAUAAUAAUAGUAGUAGUAGUAGUAGUAGUAAUAAUAAUAAAAAAAAAAAGAGGAGGAGGAAGAAAUUAAUGAGAACUUUGAGAUGAAAGAUUAAUGUAAGGAUUAAACAAUGAUAAAAACAAAUGUCAAGGUUAGAGGAUCCACUAAUGGUAUUUCAAACAAGUAUAGUAUAAACUCUUAUUAUUCAAUUGGAAACCACACACAAAGGAGGUUCCAAUCGGAUGAUUUCUCAUUAAUAGCUCAUUAUAAAUUAUUAACAUGAUCAUAUUAAUUAUCUUAAUUACAUAACACCAAACUUUUAAAUAUUGUCAGGAAUUCAUGAUAUUAACUGAUGUUAACAACAAAUCAAGUUAUUUUCAUAGCCCAGGUGUAGGUAAUACCAUACUGUUGGGCUAUGAGAGUGCCAAGCAUUUGUUGUACCAAGUGUUAUACAACACAAAUCUAGAUUAACCAUUUAACAAGCAAGGUAUUAAGAAUUAGUAAGAUAAAAAGAUAAGACAUGUUAAUAUUAAACAUUAAGAUCCAUGUUGAGUUUACACUAUAUUUAUUCUUACACCAUUAGUGUAACCUUUUCACCUUGACAUAAUAAACUUAGCUAAACAUAAUGAAGAAGAGAAACAUAAAUAAACAAAACAAGAACAUAAAGAAAAUACAAGUUAACUAAGUAAAGGAAAGGAAAUGAAAAGCAUAAACAAGAUAUUAAUGAAAGCAAAACUUAAAAAUUACAAAAAAAUAUAAAGAGAGAAAUAAAGAGCAUGAGCUUGAUCUGAACAACCAAGCCCCAAAUACAUGGCAAAUGCCUCCUUUUAUAGGCCAAAAUUCGGAAUUAUUGAUUUGAUGACUAAUUGUUGAGUGGGUGGCCAACUUUUGACUUGGUGAAAAUCCUUAUCUUCUUGUCUGAAUAAAAAAAAAAAUGCUACCAUCUGAAAUGGGUCCUCUAGAAAACAUGAAAGUUGUAGGAAAUUGACUCAGCUUUUCAGGAAAAAAAAUGGAGAUGAUUUGGACCUCUAGAACUCCAGAUAUGGGCCAAACACUGAACAGUGUUCGGGCUGCAGGACAGAUUCGAACUUCUCCGUUGUUGCUAUGAUUUGGACUUGAAAACGACCUUGUUAGAUUUUUAUGUUCACAUGAAAGUUGUAGGCCUAUGUCUCACCAAGUUUGUGUAAACAUUUGAGGUCAUUUGGACAUCUAGAACUUGAGAUAUGAGCCAAACACAAAACAGUGUUCCAGUUUGGACUGCACCAACAUCUCUUUUCUAAGUUUCACCCUCUCUUUAUCUUCAUAAAUUUCAGUAGUUGAAUUCAUCAAUCAAUCCUUUGAUUUAUGUGAUAGGCCUACAUUUAAGAUGAAAAUUUACCAUAUAUUAGGGCAUUUUAUAGUAUUAGACUUUUUAUUAUAAAACAUGUUUUAGUUAAAGAGUUAUUGAUACUUUAAGUGCAAAAUGAUGAUAUAAAACCUUGAUAAAUAUGCACUUUUAAGUUCUAAUCAGAGGUGCUGUCGAAUUUAUUUUAACAUUUGAAUUUAAUUAUAUAAUUAUUUGUAUAAAAUUGGGUAGAUGCGUAGAAUGAAAACCAGAGCUAGUCGUUCACGUACAGUCGCAGUUAGUUCGUCUAGCAGCGAUGAUGAUAUUUCCUUAGGUGCCUCUCAAGAAGAGGUACCUACACCACCUGUGCCGUCAACCGAUGCUGCCUCUUCCAAUGCUAGUUCACAGCGCAGAAGUGGCACAGUGGAAGGACGACCUUUCAAUAUAAGUUUGUUAAGGUUUUAGUUUUUUUUUUUUAAAAAAAAUUAUAACAUAAUUUAUGAAGUAAUCACUAUUUCAUUUAUUUCAACAUUGAGGCCGCCCCAGUAAUAUCAUCGGCGUUUAAAUCGUCGAUGGAGAUUCCAUUGUUUCAAUGGAGUCAGAUAUUCAGGCAUCCUAAAUGGAUGCCUCAAAUCAAUGCAUGGUUUGACAGAUUUGAUAUUGGUGUUAAUUUAUAAUUUUCAGCUUAUUUCUAAUAAAUUAUUAAUAUAAUUGUAAAUAAAUUAUUAUUUUUAUUUAAAAUUAAUUAUUUAUACACAGGAUAAAUUGCUGGGACAAUGACCAUAACACUGUUGUGAGGAGGGUGUAGGAAAAUCACGCGGCAACUAGGUAACAUCGAAAACAAUACAAGAUUUUUUUAGACAAAAAUUAAUGUUUCGAAAUGUAAUUUUUGGUUGCGUGAAGUAGAGUGAUUUUUGGUACGAAGCACAAAAAAGAGAAAAAAAAACAGCGAGGGAUAUGGGGUUUCAAGGCUGGAACGAUGUUAAGGUUAGGAGGGAUUUCAAACCGAUAUACAUCUUGGAAGAUAUAUGGCCACACUAUCUUGAGCACGUGAUGUCUGAACGAUUCACACGACACUCACAGUCCGGUGUUGGCAACCGGAAUCGGCUAAUUCAUGGCUUGGUGACAACGCACAUCCACGGCUCCGUUCUGUUUGUUGCACAUACAAAACGGAUGGUAAGAUUAAUUUAAAUAAAAUUUAUCGUUCAAUUAAUUUGUUGUUAAUAAAUUUUUUUCAUUAUAGGCUACGUCUCUUGGAUGCAAGCCGAGCCCGAUGGAGCUGUUUGUGGAGACGCAUGUGCGGAGUCAAGACCGUCAAAAGGGGGUGCAACAGUUCAUUGACAACCGUGCUCAACAUUUCGUGGUAUGUUUGUUCAACCAUUUUAUUUUGUAAGUUAUUAUGUUUAUUGAAUUGAAUAUGAUGAUUACUUUUUUUUAUUAUUUUUAGGAGACCUAUAAUAAUCGGUUGAGGGAGAGAUACGGGGACGAUCCUUUAACCCAUCCGGAAUUCGAUCCCAAUUUAUGGAUAGAGGUUGGAUCGUCAGGUGGACCCGAUAAUAAUCGGGUUUACGGGCUCUCCAACACUACGGCCGACAACUUGUGGUCGGCCUGUAGUGCUUCAACUGUUGGGAGCUCCCAAUCAAUAUCGAGCUCCCAAUCUAAGGAGUUCGUGACCUUGCAUCAACACACGGCUCCGCAUUAAAAAAUACGACCACCUAUCAGAGGCGUACGCACAACUCCAAGCGUCUCAAGCACAACAAAGAGCAGAGUCUGAACAACAAAAAGCGGCUUAUAAACAGCUUCGUGAAAUGGUCAUGAACAUGGCAUCACAGAGUGGAACAUGUGCGCCCAAGGUUGUCAAAAAUGUUUUUUUGACACGACACGGAACAUACAAUAGAAACUCGACUCGUAAACUCGAAUCGUAAAAUCGGAAGUAAAAUUUUUUAACUAAAAAUCGUAAAAUCGCAAGUAAAAUAUUUUAACUAAAAUCAUAAAAUCGUAAAAUAAACAUCCAAACAUUUUAAAUAACUUUAAAAUAUAAUACAAUAUAAUUAUGUCCAUAGAAUUUUAUUAACUAAACAUUAACAAACUUAAAACAAAUAAUAUAUUAGUGUGUCAUAUAAACUAAACAUGACCUCAUUGCCUUGAUCUUCAUUGUCACGUAUCCUCCAGUUCAAGAAUCAAUAUAUAUACCAAUAAGGAUGUCUAGUGCUGAGAAUUGAAUAAAAUACAACAAAAAAACCAACAUAUAAAUACAAAGAAAACACAACCAUCCCUUGCAGCAGCAACUAAUGCAGGGUUAUCUUCAAUUCGAAAGUCCCUCCUAAACCAAACAAUGGUCUUACUGCUACCCAUUAGGAUCAUAACCCCUUUUGCACCAGAAGAUAUGCAAAUAUAAACAAGCUCUUGGUUAUUAUCCAGCAUAUAUAAGACAAAUCAUUGCAAGCACCUCUCUUUGUUUAACCAAAUAUUCUUCAACUAAUUCUUUUAACUCUAUGUGCAACAAGAAGAUGAGAUAUCAUGUGACUGAAGAAUCAAUAUAUAUACCAAAAUUCAGGACAGUAUUAAGCAUUCAUUUCAUGCUCUGCCCUUCUAGUGGGAAUUGCAAUAAAAAGGAAGAUGGGUUUUGGAGCUAUAUAUGAUGUAGCACAGUAGCAGCAUUGUAGCAACCAGAAACUGAAAGCAACCAUUUGAAAGCAACAUAUUUGGUAUCGUCUAUCAGAUUAGGACACAAACAUGCAAAGAUUGCAAAAACCCAAUAUGGCAAUAUAUAUUUACACACAUACAAGACUUGUCAGCACAGUUAAUAAGGCAUGCGAAAUUACAAAAGAGAAAAGAUCUUAUGAUUCAGCAAAUGAGCAAAUGUUAAUAUGACAGGCACUCAACUCUUAUUCUAUAUCAGACACUUCGUCGCCAUGGAUGAGGGGAAAAAGAAAAGAUUAACAGAAAAUAAUAUGUUUACCUGGAAGAUUUUCAGCACCAGGAAGAUUUUCAGCACCAAUUGCAAGAUUAACAGUAAGUACAAGAUUAUUUAACUGCCAAAUCACCCAAAAAUGAUAUAAGAUUGAUAACCCAAAAAUGAUAUAAAACAUGAUAGAGAAAAGAGAGAAUCAAGCAAACCUGGCCACUAAUGAAAGAAUCCAGCAAGCAAAGCUGAGAGAGUGGAGACUGGAAACUGGAGACCGGAGAGGCGAAGACAAUUAGAUCAAAGGCAAACGAAAUAAAGAAAAAAAUGGGGGUUUUGAGAGAAAGAAAGAGAGUGGAAGGCGUUGGCUUCUGCUGGGUUUAAGAUUUGAGAAUCAGAGAAUGUGAGAUCUGCUUCUGCUAGGGUUGAAUUUGAGAAUCAGAGAAUAUGAGAUUUGGGGGAAGCGGAAAGGAAAAAGGAGAAUUUUAUGAGACUAACGGGAUGGAAAGGAGAGGAUUGAGAACAAUAAGAAGAUUCAAUAGUUUUUUUAAUUCUGUCGAACUCUGUAAACUCGGUCCGAGUUUACCGAGUUCACCGAGUUUGACCGAUUUUAACCGAGUUUGACCGAGUUUACUAAUUUUCGAGUUUUCUACCCGAUUUCACACGGUAUAUCUGAGUUGACUCGUAAAAUCGUACGAUUUUACGAGUCAACUCGCGAGUUUAACAACCAUGUGUGCGCUUAACCCUUUUUGGCCGUAUUACCACCAGCCUCCUCCUCCUCCUCCUCCUCCUCCACCUUUAUAUUAAUUUGUAAUAAACAUUAUUUACCUUUAAAAUUUCAUUUAAUAUUUUUUUGAAACACAUUUAUUUUGUAAUGAAUAUUAUUUAACUUUGAUUUUUUGUUUUUGAUGUUUAAUAUAAAUUUUAUUUGCAUAAUUGGUUUUUAUUACCAAUAAUUUAUAUAAUUUUAUAUUAUGUAUUUUAAAUAAUUUUUGAAAUUUUUUUUAUAAAAAACUAUUAUAAAGGGUUUUACCGACGAAAUGAAUCCAUCAACAUUUGACAGUAACAAUCACCGAUGAAUUUACAGACGAAAUAAAAUCCGUUGGUAUAUUUCAAGCGGGAAAUUUUUUUUUGGCUCGCAAAUUCCGUUUGUAAAACCAUCGGUAAAUGAUUUUUUUGUAUUUCCGACGGAUAUAGCGAUGCAAUGUGGAAUCACCGAUGAAAGGAAAGCCGACGGACGUAUUCCGUCGGUAAAGACGCCGGUAAAUAAUUUACUGACGAACUCCUAAUCACACACCGAUGGAAUUUUUUGUUGAUAAAACUGUAAAAUCUUGUAGUGAAAGAACGCAAUUUAUUGAACUCCUCUUGCAUGGACGUUGCUAACUUGUUAGUGUCAACCGAACCAUGAUCUCCCUUGUUCAUCAGCAGAUCAGUUGAUGUCCCAACAAUCUCCGUUCUGUGUCUCAUUGAGUGAUCUCUCCUGUCAAAAUUACCAAAUCAUUUAUUAAUACAGAUGCGUAAACAAAUUCCAACACAAAUGUAAAAAGGAAAUGAAAAUAUCACACAAAAUAUUGUCAGACAAUCACAAAAAUAUUUGGAAGGAAACGAAUCUGAAUUAUUACAAUAUACGUACGUAGCUUCUCUAAAUUACAGCUUACAUACUUAGAUUUGCUACAAAACCUAUGUAGAAAAAACUCUAAGUGGACUUAAGUGUUUCUGAUCAGAAUUUUCUUGACUGUUUUGUUCCUGCAAUUCACCAUCUCUUCUUAUUCUACACAAAGUCUUCGUCAAUUUGGACUCUUACGGCUGGAUUCCAAAUCAACAUCAAUAAGAGGGGUCGGUUCCAGCUGUUCUCUUGUUUAGUAAAAAUCAACAAUACCAAGUUGGACCGCAUUCUAUAAAAUUUUAAAAUUAUUUGUUUUAGGUUUAAUUUUUUUUUGUUUUCAAAUUAUUUUGAUAUAUUUUUUAACAAAAAUAAUUUUAAAAAACAACCUGUUCCAACCAUGGAUAUUUUUUCACAAAAUUAAAUGCCUAUAAACGAAGAGAACUUAAAACUAGAGUGUAAAUAUUUUUAGACACAGAAACAGGCAGAACACAAGGUAAGAAAAGUUUCAGAAUUAUAGAAGCAAAAGAAAGUUGUGUAGAAAAUGAAACUGUAAAAUCUCCGAGUUCGUUUUUCCGUUUAGUAAGAAAGAGUGCAUAUGGAAACCAAGCAAGUUUGCAAGUUUCAGAAUUAUUUUGCUGCAGAGGUUCUUUGAGGAACUUAGAGCGAGGAUUUUGAAGCCAAUCAAAAUAAUAUGUUCUGUUCCUGGAUUUCUCCAUCAGUUCUUCUUCUACAGAAAGUCUUCGUCGAUGUAGACUUUUGCAGCUAAACAACAAAUCAGCAUUAUUAUCAGGUGGGGUUGACUACAGCUUUUUUAAAGUAAUUUUUAUUUAAAAAUAUAUUAAAAUAAUAUUUUUAUCUUUAGAGGGAGGAUUUUGAAGCCAAUCAAAGUAAGUCCUAUUUAGAAAAUCCAUAUGUUUAUCUUGCUUAUCUUCCUGUUCCUUGCAGUCAUAAGAUUGUCGAAAAAAACCAUUUUAAUUUAACAAGUUAAAUUAUUAAGUGAAGGUUAAAGUUAUAAUUUGUAUUGUUUUAUAGUAUAUUUAUUUAAGUGAAAGUUCUUUAAACUUAAAAUUUAUAUAAAUUCAUAUUAUUUUAAGUUUAAUUUUUAUCAAAUAAAAAAAAAUAAGUUUUAAACUUUUAAUUAUUUAAUUAUUAAAAUUAUGAUAUUAUAUAAAACUUAAAUUAUUAAUUAAAGAGGAAAAUGACAACUGAGAAAUUGGUCCGUGCCCACCAUUCCAGAAUACAAUAGACAUCCAGCUCACAUGAUUACUUUUACAUGGAUAAUCAGUCAAGACAUGACCCUGGAGCUCACAUGACUUCACGUGAACAACAUUUUCUCAUUGGCAAAGGUUUUCACAAUGAUGCACAAGUGACUUGAAGACGUGACAAAUGCUUCUUCUUCUUUUUUUCAGGUCAUAUCUAGUAACUAUUCCUAGAAUUUUAAAAUAUAAUUUAUAUUAUUUUUUAAUAAAUAUGAUUUAAGGUAUAAUUAUCAAACCUAUUCUAGCCGGUAAGUCGACUUGAAGUCUAGCCACCCAGGCUUGAUUUCUUUUUGAACCAAUAAAUCAACCUUUAACCUGGUUACUAUAUAAAAAAAACCACUAAAACAAUAUCGUUUUGAAACUAACUACUCUGUUAUUGGGGACUUUAUUCGGGUAUGAUAAAGUUCAACAAGAUUUCCUGCUUUAUAUAGUUAUUCGAGACUCUUUUGUGUGAGAAUCCAUGGAGUUUUCAUCUGUUCUUUACAUUUGUUUUGUAUCUGUUUCAUUAUCAGUAUCAUCAAAUAAUUUGUUGAGUCUGACAGAUAGAAAUUAUCCCAGUUCAUUCACAGGAUGAAGACUGGCGAAGAAUCAAGCGAGAAAAAUGAUAAGGGAGAUCAUGUUUACAGAUUAGCAGCAAAUGUGAAAAAGAAUUUGGAAACCUUAGGAUGUCGAAAUUCUUGUUCGAAAUGGAAUUAUAGGAAACUGGUUGUCUAAUAAUGAAGCAGUGGCUACUCUUUCUUACAAUCUUUCCAGAGAAAAUAUUGUCUCCCGGAAGAACUUCUACUUUUCCGAUGUCCUGGAAGAUUUGAAUAAUUACUGCGGAAGAGAUUGGCCGAGAUGGAAGGCAAACUUGAGACAAAAUUAUUUCCAAAAUCCAUGGUCCAUAAUCUCCGUUAUUGCAGCCGCUUUUCUCCUCCUACUCACCAUCAUCCAAGCGGUGUGUUCUAUUAUUCAAAUCGUUUAGAGUCUACCCUUUCAAUUGUUUCAUUUCCUGUAGAAAGCUAUAAUGUAGAAUAAAGAUGGAAAUUCUGUGUUGUUUUCUCCUGGCUAUCAAGUGUACAUACAGAUAGCUAGGAGAAAACCAUGUCAUUAAUCGAGUUUUACUGGGUUAAUGUAUUUUUUAUUUCAAUUUAAAAUCUCAUUUUGAUAAUAUUUGGGGUUGAGUUUUUCAAAUUAACUCGUUUAAUCAAGACUGAACAUCAUUCAAAGAGUAGAGUAGCUUUUUCCCUAGAAAUUAAAGUAUUCCCUGCCUGAGUCCAAUUAGAAAUGGAAUUCCACGAAUAUAAUACGAUACAUUAUGUUAUCAAUAACUUCAAUGGAGUCAAAUCCAAGAAAACAAUACCAGGCUGCACAAUCCUUUGCCCCAAAAUUAGACCUCAAAGGAUGGCUUGGGCCUCAGAUUAUUUAGCAGUUUGCUUCUUGCCAUAAGGGAAGGCAAAGUUGAAGAAUGUUUAUUUAAAAAAUCCAUGGACUGCCACCUCUAGUAUUAGAAAGCUGGCUGGAGUAGACUAGGCCUUGACCAAAUGAGAAUAUUUGAGCUUAACUUAUGUGCUUGGUGAAGCAGAUGGGCACGAGCUUAAGGCUGAACAAAUCUUUCAGCAGGCUUUGAUGAGGAAACAAAAAAAAACCUGGCCCAAAUUAAUAGUGACAUUUUGUAUUUUGUUUUUAACCUUUUUUUUUUCUAUAUCUUUGAUUCAUCUACUCUUAACUAAUCAUAAAAAGUAAUGCAAUAUUAAUUUUUUUAAUUUUCAAUCCUUGGUUAAUUAGUAUUUAUAUUUUCUUAAUUUUCAAUUCCUUUUCUUGUCAAGAAAAUCCUCAACAAAAAUAUAUAUUUUUUUAAUAUAGUAAUAAACUAGAUCAUUGACCUGUACUAUAUUGCGAAACGUGUUAAAUUUUACUUAGAAUUAAAAAUAAAUUACAUGGUUUACAGAGGAAAUGAAUUCUUCUGAAGUAGAAUAUUUUGUUGACUUCAUAAGAAACUGUCUAGUAAUUGAUAUUUUAAAGUAGUUCAUGUUUUAAUUUAUAAUUAGAUAUUACCAUGAAUGCUGUUAGAGAAUGAUAUAUAAAUUAUAUAGGGAGACAUUAUGGUUUUUUGAUAUAAUUAAUAUUAGAGUUUUAAAAAAUAAGGAUGAGUUUGAAUUUCAUCAUUUUUAUUUUAACUAAUUAAAUUAAUAAAACUAGGUCGAAGUAGUAGUGUAAAAUCUAAAUUUUUGGUCAAAAUUCAAGCUCAAGUCAGUCCAAAUUCAAUUUAAAUUAACCUAGGUAUAUAAAGAAAAGUUGUAAGAGAAUUGUUUUUCUCUCUUCUAAUUAGUAUGGUUGUUGUGACUUUUUCCUCAUCGAUUUAGAUUUUCAAUCUUGAGUUUUUUAGUCAAAGAAAGAUGGAAAUAACGAGAAAGUGGUUUCUUUUUAUGUUAUUUGUAAUUAUGGUUUGUUUAUAAAAUAAUUAAAUAAAAGAUUAAGAUUUAAAAAGAUUUGAAGUUUAUAUUGUUAAAAUUAAUUCAUGAUUAUUAUGAGUUUAAGGUUAAAUAAUUGAUUUUUAAUGUGUCGUUAAAAAUAAAAAUUUAUUAAUUAAUUUGUUAGAAAUAAGUUAUUGCAAUACUGAAAUGCACUUCAAUGCCAUUCAAUACUUGAAGGUAUGCUUUGGUGGCUCUAUCUAUGAAAAUUAACGAGCUGGAGAACAUGGCAAGGUUUAUGCAGUGGGAGGUUCGUAUAAUUACCUGCUCUAAGGUAAUUAAUCCAACCCUAUUUAUCUUUUUUUAUUGAUGUUUUGCAUCUGGAUUAAUGAAUUAGAAUGUUACCUUUAUUUUAAUCACGUUAAAAAGAAAAUCUUGUAAAAGUGAAUGAAUUAAUUUCUAAAAGUCUUCGUCAACUUUUAGAGUCUUCCAGCUGGACCACAAACAAUAAGCGGGGUCUUUUCCAGCUGUUGUCUGUUUGGAUGGAAAUGGCGGCUCAAAUCCCGGGCCACGUGUUGGGUGUGAGGCCUUGGGUUUGGCACAGGGUCUUUUUAUUUGUAAAAACAAUAACAGUAACUAGACAGAUAAACAUUACAAAUAGCUGACAUUACUAUAUAAGUAUCUGACCGAAACAUGACCUCCUUUUUCAUCAGCUCAGUUGCUGUUUCAACAAUCUCCGCGCGUCCUGUGACUCGUUGAAUUGAAUGAUCUCUCCUGUCAAAAUUACCAAAUCACUUAAUUAAUAUGGAUGCUUAAACAAAUUCCAACACAAAUGUAAAAAGGAAAUGAAAAUAUUGUCAAACAAUCACAAAAAUAUUUGGAAGGAACCGAAUCUGAAUUAUUACAACAAACAUAGCUCUAAAUUACAAUUCACCAUCACUUCUUGUUCUACACAAAGUCUUCGUCAAUUUAGACGGCUGGACCCCAAAUCAACAUUAAUAAGAGGGGUCGGUUCCAGCUGUUGUCUUGUUGAGUAAAAAUCAGCAAUAAUUAUUGAGACCGUUUAUUUACGUUCUUGUUUCUGUAUUUGUAGCGACCACAGUAAAAUAAAUAUUUUGUAACGCUCCAAAACACAAUUAAUUUCUGGUGAGGCCCACUUAGUUAAAUUGAAAGCAACUCUCGACUAUUUUUUUUUUAUCUGCACUGUUCAUAAGUAAACAUUCCUUUUUUAAAACCAAAACAGUACAGUGAAUUUAUUAAUUUAGUAGGAUUGGUCAUGUGAAUAAUUUUUUUUUAAAAUUAAUUUAGAAUGAAUUAAAUUUAUUUAUAUUGUAAUCUCAAUUAUAUAUAUAUUUUUUAUAUUUAUGUUAUAAUUUCAAUUUAAAAAAUAUUAUUAACCAAACACAUUAAAUUAUUUUUUAUUUAAUUUUAGUUUUAAUUAAAUAUAUAAAUAUCAAACCAAUUUUAAUUAAAAAUAUUUUUUAUAAAAUAAAGUUUUUUAAAUCACAACUACAAGAGUUACCAUAAAAUAUAUUAGUGAAGGAUAAACAAGAAGUAGAAGAAACCAACAUGGAUUAGUUACUGAAGGAAAUACAUUGCAAUUUCAGAAGAGGAAAUCACAGAGCACACUGUGUAUUUACAGAAAAAAAGAAACAAAAGAACAAUUAAAAUGGCAGAAUCUAAACAACUUGAAUGAUAGAACACACUGCUUGUAUGACAGUAAGUAGGAGGAGCAUUCCAGCUGCAAUAACAGAGAUUAUGGUCCACGGAUUGUCGAAGUACUUCUGUUUCAGGUCUGCCUUCCAUUUGUGCCUACGCCUUUUGUAAUACGUGUUCAGAUGUUCAACGACAUCAGAAAAAUAGAAAUCGCGGUUGACAAGAUUUUCAGUGGCAAGAUUGUGGAGAAGUCUUAAGAGGGCAUCGUUAUCACGUAGCCAAUUCUCUAUAAUUCCUUUUCUUGCGAGUAUUUCUAAGUCCUUGGAAGCAUGAACAACCAAAUUGAUCAUCGUGAUAUAGUUACCUAUAAAACCAGAACCGAAAUGGCAUUGCUCAAAGGCUUGGACAUUCCUGAAUAACGUUUCUGUGGCAUCCUCAAUCUUUAAACAUGGAAUUACCAGUGUCCCUUCAACAGCGUUGAAUUUUAUGUCUAGUAGUUUCUUGCUGGACCCCGACUUAAACCUGACUCCAGCUUGAUGGAGAUCCAUUGCACUGGGUGUGCUUAGAGUAUCGAUUUUCUUUUUUAUUUGCUGUUUUUGCUUUGUUGGCUGCUGACAGGUUCUCAGAAAAGCAACAAAAUGCUCUGCUUCAUAGAAUUUGAUUUCCUCCAAAUCGUCCUGGGGCAUCCAUGAAGACCAUCUACUUUUUAAGAAUGUCAAGGUGAGCUUCUUCAAGGAAAGAGGGCACCAUAUUUUGGAUAGAUUAAUCAAGUCUUCUAGAAUGAAGAAUGGAAGCUGAUUUUCAAGCAAGCACAUGUCCCUGGAUACAUCACUGAUCAUCCGAGGUUUACCGAAUAUACGGUCAUUUCUGAAGACAAUAAAUCGGAAGCAAAUCCUCAGUAAGACCAUAAUGACGAAGGAGCAAUCGAGAAGCAUCAUUUUCACAAAUUUUUCACUGCUAAGCUUUUCAAAGGUUGCUGCAUAACAGUUUCGCAAUCUAGUUUCCUUCUCUGCAAUAAAUGCAAUAAAAUCCUCAAGGCUUACCUCGCUGAAUUCAAGAAAAUCUUGAAGGUACAUUUUCUUAUGCUCUUCCAUUUCUUGUAGCUCUUUUUUUCCAUGGUGAAGCGGGCCGAUGGAGACUACUUGAGGUGUAUAAGCUCUUUUAUUUAACUUGAGUAGUCUUUUAGGAACCCUGCAGAUUGAACACUCAUCAGAGAAAGGACGCAAUUUAUUGAACUCCUCUUGCAUGGACGUUGCUAACUUUUUAGUGUCAACCGAACCAUGAUCUCCCUUGUUCAUCAGCAGACCAGUUGAUGUUCCAUCAAUCUCCGUCCUGUGACUCAUUGAGUGAUCUCUCCUGUCAAAAUUACCAAAUCAUUUAUUAAUACGGAUGCGUAAACAAAUUCCAACACAAAUGUAAAAAGGAAAUGAAAAUAUCACACAAAAUAUUGUCAGACAAUCACAAAAAUAUUUGGAAGGAAACCAAUCUGAAUUAUUACAAUAUACGUAGCUUCUCUAAAUUACAGCUUACAUACUUAGAUUUGCUACAAAACCUAAGUAGAAAAAACUCUAAGUGGACUUAAGUGUUUCUGAUCAGAAUUUUCUUGACUGUUUUGUUCCUGCAAUUCACCAUCUCGUCUUAUUCUACACAAAGUCUUCGUCAAUUUGGACUCUUACGGCUGGACUCCAAAUCAACAUCAAUAAGAGGGGUCGGUUCCAGCUGUUCUCUUGUUUAGUAAAAAUCAACAAUCUCUUACGGCUGGACUUCAAAUCAAUCAGCAAGAUUUCCUGCUUUUUAUAGUUAUUUGAGACUCCUUUGUGUGAGAAUCCAUGGAGUUUUCAUCUGUUCUUUACAUUUGUUUUGUAUUUGUUUCAGUAUCAGUAUCAUCAAAUAAUUUGCUGAGUCUGACAGAUAGAAAUUAUCCCAGUUCAUUCACAGGAUAAAGACUGGCGAAGAAUCAAGCGAGAAAAAUGAUAAGGGAGAUCAUGUUUGCAGGUUAUCAGCGAAUGUGAAAAAGAAUUUGGAAACCUUAGGUCCAAAUCCUUUAUCGGAAGAGUGUUGUAUCUAUAAAGUUCCAAAGCGACUGCGAGUGUUAAACGACAAGGCCUACACACCUCAAGUAGUCUCCACUGGUCCAUUUCAUCGUGACAAAAAGCAGCUGCAAGAAAUGGAAGAACAUAAAAGAAUGUACCUGCAGGAUUUUCUUAAAUGGAGCAAUGCAAGCUUGGAGGACUUUAUUGAACUCACAGGCGACCGUGAAGCAACAUUGCGUAAUUGUUAUGCCGAAACCUCUAAAGAUCUUAGCAGUGAGAAAUUUGUGAGAAUGAUCUUAGUAGAUGCUGCCUUCGUCAUUAUGAUCAUACUGAAACGAUGCAUCAGUGCUUUCCGAGGCAGAAACUGUUGGCGUGAGCUGUAGCACAUGUGUAAUAGCAAAUAUUGUAGGAACAGAGAUGGUAAGACUAGGAGAUAUUAUAGGAACAGAGAUGGAAAGAAUAAUUAUAGGAAUCAAAUAUGUAUAGCCUAAAAUAGAAGAUUUAUUCUGUUAGUAUAAAUAUGUAACCUGUCACUGUGUUAAUAUUUAUUCAGAAAUAAAAAGCAAUUAUUCUGACAUGGUAUCAGAGCAUUCUAUUUUUUUCUGCGUCAAAAACCCCUAAUACUCGCCUUUGUCUUUUUUUUCCUUUCUCUUCUUCCCAUGACUUCAGAAGCUGGUUUAGAGCAUUCUAAUAUACCUCAACCAGAGUCCAUGUUUACAGAAUUCACCACAAAAAUCACUGAGGCUCUUAGCAAAAUCCAAACACCGACCAUGACUACUGAGCCUCCUGCUGCUCCGAUUGGCAUCAAGUUGAAUGGCACCAACUAUGCCCUCUGGUCCCAAGUUGUCGAGAUGUACAUCUCAGGCAAAGAUAAAUUGGGAUAUAUCUGGUGAUCUUCCACAACCAUCAUCAACAGACCCUAUCUUUUGUAAAUAGCAUACAGAUAAUGCCAUUGUCAAAGGAUGGCUAAUUAACUCGAUGGAUCCCUCAUUAAUAGGGAAUUUUAUGCGGUUCCUACUGCAAAGAUGGUGUGGGACUCCAUUGCUACCACUUAUUUUGAUGGAAGUGAUACAUCUCAGGUUUAUGACUUGAGACGUGGUGUGACACAGCUCAAACAAGCUGGAGGGACUCUGGAACAAUACUACAAUGACCUUCAGGGGUUAUGGCGUGAGAAUGGUCUUAGUAGGUGCUGCCUUCGUCAUUAUGGUCACACUGAAACGAUGCUUCAGUGCUUUCCUAGGCAGGGACGACAGUAUCUUCUCUCGUCAUUAUGGUCAUACCAAAAAUUGCUUCACAUAGAAUUUAAUAAAGAGUUUCUGAAAAUCCCACAGUUCAGAAUAUCAGAUGAUACGGAAAUAAUCUUCUAGCCUUUCAGCAAUGCCAUUGCGGCGAAAAUUAUGUAGGUAACUAUAUAUAUUCACAUGAUGGAUUUGCUUGUUGAUUCUCCUGAGGAUUUCGAAAUUCUUGUUCGAAAUGGAAUUAUAAAGCUGGCUGGAGUACACUAGGCCUUGACCAACUGAGAAUAUUUCAAAAAUUAAAUUUUUUAAAAAUAUGAUUUCAAACGCAUUUUUAAAAAAAAAUAUAUAUUUAAUACUAUGAUGUAUAAUAUUUUUAUUAAAAAUAAAUUUUAAAAUUUAUUUUUGUCGAUGUCGAAACAUGAUUAUAUUAUUCCUCUUCAUCUGCUCAGUUGUUGCCUCCCAACAGUCUCCAUCCCGUGAGGCAAAUCUCAAUCGAUCAGAUGUUAGAAAAAAAAAAAAAACAUGGAUAGACUUCUCAAAUUAUAUUAUUUACCACAUGAUUGAGAAUAAGAUUGCGCAUGCUAAAAGAAUUAUGGGCUGGAUCUUUUCAGAUAUGUCCAUGCUCUAUCGUAAGCUUCAGACUUUUAUUUGCUCAGCUACUGGAUUUCAAAACUUUGCCUGCCGAGCCAAAGGAACUCUCUGCCCAUUCAUGAACCAGCUGGAGAACAUGGCAAGGUUUAUGCAGUGGGUGUUAAAAAAAGUUAUAUUGAUUAUGCUUUUGAGUUUGUCUAGAAUAAGUUAUGGAAGACCUAUUCUAUAGGAAAUAUCUAUUUUGUAGGAGUUCCAUCCACGUCUUAGAUAGUGGAGAUUUUAUUGUUAUUCUGUUAAGAUUUCCUUGCUUCUGUUGCUAUUUCCUUGCUACUGUACAACCUAUUUAAAGGCUUGCUAUUGAUUCAUUCAAUACACUGAGUGCAUUAGUCUUAUAUUUGUUCUUAUUUACGUAACAGUGGUAUCAGAGCCACAUAUAGAAGAGAGUGUGAGAGUCUUAAAAACAAAAAACAGUGUCCACGAAAUAGUCAUCAAUAAGCAGCAGCUUUCUUUUAUUAACUGUUUUCUAUUUUGCAGCAAUAGAAAUACGAUGGCAGAGACAAAUUUUGUGCAGGCAGCAAUCCCUCGUUUCGAUGGUCACUAUGAUCAUUGGAGCAUGCUAAUGGAGAAUUUCUUACGAUCAAAGGAGUACUGGCAGGUGGUCGAUUCUGGGAUAGCAGAACCAGAAACUGGAAUCAUUUUAACAGAAGCUCAACUGACUGAGCUGAGCAGCCUGAAAUUAAAAGAUUUGAAGGCAAAGAAUUAUUUAUUUCAGGCCAUUGAUCGUUCAAUCUUGGAAACAAUUCUUAGCAAAGAUACUUCCAAGCAAAUAUGGGAUUCUAUGAAGAAGAAAUAUCAAGGCUCUUCAAGAGUAAAACGUUCACAACUCCAGGCCCUCAGGAGAGAUUUUGAGACUUUACAAAUGAAGGAUGGAGAAUCAGUCACUGAAUAUUGUGCAAAGACCAUGGGAUAUCAAACAAAAUGCGGUUUCAUGGUGAAAAAAUGAAUGAUACGGUAAUUGUUGAAAAGAUUUUACGUUCCUUAUCAUCAAAGUUUGAUUAUGUUGCUUGCUCAAUCGAAGAAUCUAAAGAUAUAGAAGCUCUUUCUCUUGAUGAACUUCAAAGCUCAUUAUUAGUACAUGAGUAGAAGAUGAAACGAAGCACAAUCACAGAGGAGCAUGUUUUGAAAGCUUCUACAUUUACUGAAUCCUCACACAUAAGAGGAAGAGGUAGAGGCAAAAGUCGGGGUAGAGAAUAUCGUGACAACAAAGAUGGAGGCAAAGGAAGAGGACGUGAACAACCAUUUAACAAAACUAAUGUGGAGUGCUACAGGUGUCACAAAAUUGGUCAUUAUCAAUCUGAAUGCUAUACCAAAUUGCCUCAUAACAAAGAAAAGUGGCAAAAAUCAAAUUUUAUAGAGAACAAGGAAGAAGAAACUCUGCUGAUGGCAUUCCAUACGAAGGAUAAUAUCAGUGAACCAAAUGUUUGGUACUUAGACACCGGCUGCAGUAAUCAUAUGUGUGGUAGUAAGUCUUUCUUCUCUAAUCUCAAUGAAGAAUUUCAUACUACUGUGAGCUUUGGUGAUCAUUCUAAAGUUGAUGUUAUGGGCAAGGGUGAUAUUCAAAUCAGAACAAAGAUAAAUACAAUUGAGACUAUCUCAAAUGUUUUUUAUAUUCCUGAUUUGAAAAGCAAUUUACUUAGCUUGGGACAACUGCAAGAGAAGGGCUAUGUGACUACAAUAAAGAAUGGUGUUUGUGAAAUUUAUGAUCCUACAAGGGGUCUGGUUGCUCAUGCUAAAAUGACACCAAACAGAUUGUUUCCGCUGCAAAUUCAGAUCUUUCAGCAUUGUCUUGUGGCUAAGGAAGUUGAUUCAACAUGGUUGUGGCACUAUCGCUAUGGUCAUUUGAAUUUCAAUGGUUUAAAGACACUAUAUCAAAGAACAUGGUGAUUGGUCUUCCAACUAUUACUCAUUUAACAAGGUGUGUGAACAUUGUGUUGUUGGCAAACAACAUCGUAAAGAAUUUCCACAAAGAUCAACAUGGAGAGCAAAGAAAGUCUUGGAGCUGGUACAUUCUGAUCUGUGUGGACCAAUAAAUCCAUCAUCAAAUGGAGGUAAACGAUACUUCAUCACCUUCAUCGAUGACUGCAGCAGGAAAACAUGGGUUUAUUUUUUGCAGGAUAAGUCUGAAGCUUUUUCUGCAUUUAAAAGCUUCAAGACACAUGUUGAGAAUGAAGUAGAGAGAACCAUUAAAACUCUUCGAACAGACCGAGGUGGCGAGUUUUGUUCAAGAGUUUCAAGUUUUUUGUGAUGAACAUGGAAUUCAAAGACAAUUGACUGCAGCAUACACACCACAACAGAAUGGUAUAUCGAAGAGGAAAAAUCGAACCAUUCUGAAUAUGGUGAGAUGCUUGUUGACACAUAUGAGUGUUCCAAAAGAUUUCUGGCCAGAAGCUGUGCAAUGGAGCAUUCAUGUUUUGAAUCGCAGUCCUACAUUUGCUGUUCAAAACAUGACCCCUGAAGAAGUGGAGUGGACGAAAGCCAUCAGUUGAUCAUUUCAAAGUGUUUGGGUGCAUUGCAUAUGUUGUAACCCAUUUUUGGGUUAACUACAUAAAAAAUAAUAAAAUACAAAAAAAUCAAAAAAAUAUAUUAUCAAAAAAUAUAACAGUGAAAAAAAUGCCAGAGCGCCCUAAAAAUGUUCAAAAAUUGAUUGAGGAUGUUCAAAAAUAUAAAAAUUAAUUUUUGACAGUAUAUCAUUGACUGAUGAGAGCCCCGAUGAUAAAGAAAAUUCAAUUUGUGGAAGAAAAAUGCAAAAUUAGAAGUUUAUGGACUCAAUUAAAUUUUAUUGAAGGUUUAAUUGCAUUUAUGAAGAUUUUAAUUGAAAGAAAAAUUGAUUUUGGAGUUAAUUUGGGCUUUAAUUAGGAGAAAUUAAUUUUCUGGGGUCAAAUUAUAAUUUUUGAAGUUAAUUUGGUCAAAUCAGGGGCUUAAUUGCAUAAAUAUUGAAGUUUAAUGGCCAAUUAGGGACUUAAUUGAAGAAAUCCGAGACCAAGGACUAAAUUGUAAAACGCGCGCAAAUGGAGGGCCGAAAUUUGAAUCUGAUGCUUUUGGCGCCUUUUCCUUUUAAAUGAAACGGCGCGUUUUGACCAAAACGGCGCCGUUUCAUUCACUGUUGCAAAAAAAAAAAAAAAAACAGAAGCCCAAAACGGUGCCGUUUUGACGGCACUGUAGCUCUUCUUCUUCCCCUGGACGCGCGAGGCAGGAGAAGAAGAAGAUUUUUUCUUCCCCUUUUCGCCUAAUUUCUUUCCCGUUUUUCGAGCAAUAAGACGCCCGCAAUCACCCACUUGUCUCCUCCUUUUUAUCCUUCUGAGUUGAUAGUGGAGGGGCGGCCGACAGUGGCCACCCCACCAUGACACCGCCCCCCUGUUUUUGCCUAUAAAAACAGGGGAGGGGCACCGAGAAAAGAAAAAAAAAGAACAGAAGGGAGAGGGAGACGAACCGAGAUAGAAGAGAAGAGAAGAGAGAGGGCAGAGAAGAAGAAGAAGCAGCAGGGAAGAAAACGAAGAAAAACAGAAGAGAGAGAGAGAGAGAGAGAACCACCGCCGGCCUCCGCCACCGUGCCUACGCCGCCAGCAGCACCGCCACGACGUCACCGCAGGUAAUCUCUCGCCGCCUUGUCGCCUUCUCUGUUUGCUGCCUCCCUCGUUUGCAUGCAGAACGUGAAUUAAUUCACGUUCUACAGCUGAAGAGGGCUGGUUACUGUGCCUAAGCACAGUAACCAGCCCAUUUGGUAAUGGGCCGGGUUGGCCCAGCCCAUUUUAAUUUAUUUUUUUUUCUCAGAAGUUUUUUUACAAUUUUUUGGCACAUUUUUUUUAUUUUUAUCAAUUUUGCUUAAUAUCGGUCUGUAUUUUACAUCGUAAAAAUAUAAAUCCGGUAUUAAAACACUCGGUUUUCGGCAAAAACUUCCAAAAAUAAAAAAAAAUUGAAAAAAGAUAAAAAAAUGUUUUUAUGCAUACGGCCAAGUGUCUCAAAUCUAAAAAAUCAUAUUGUAUUUUGCAUAUGUCAAAAAAAAAAUAUAUUUUAGCAUGCAUUUUGGCUUUAAUAACUAGUUUAUUAAAGUCAAGAGAAAAUUGGCCAAAAUCUCAAAAACAACAAAAUAUUUUAUUUUUGUUUGAUUUUAGUAUUAGAGAUUAUGAAUUUAUACGUAAAUCGUAUUCUUGAUAUUAAAAAAAUAUUUUCUUUUGACGACUUCGAAUAGUUAGUUUUUUUUACCCGAUAAAGAUAAGGACCUCCUUACAGAGGAGGACUUUUCUUAAACCGUAAACGAACCAACAAAUUCAAAAAAACCACAACACGAUUUUAUAUUUUAUCAGACAUUAAAACAAUGCAGCCUACCUUAGGUAGGGCGUAGUUGGGGUGCUAAUACCUUCCCUUUACGCAACCAGUCUUCGUACCCGAUCUCUAAAGACCAGUUAAGGUUCCUAGUAACCAGAAUACUAGGUGGCGACUCCCAGUCCUUAUUUUCACUUGUAGAGACAAGAAUUCCUUGUCUCUCCCUAAUUUUCCAGGAAUAAAUAUUUGUAUUUUUAGUUGAGGGUGGACGAUCGCCGCGCCGCCGCACACGUGCGACAACAUAUGCACAUGUUCCAGAUGCGAAGAGAAAGAAGCUAGAUGACAAAGGUGUAAAAUGUAUAUUCCUUGGAAUUAGUGAGCAUUCAAAAGCCUACAAAUUGCUCAAUCCUAUUACAAGGAAAAUUGUCAUUAGCAGAGACGUUGUGUUCGUGGAGGAUAACACUUGGAAUUGGUCCGAACAAAGUGCAAACCAACAACAACUACCAGUAUUAUUUGAUGAGAAUGAGGCAGACGUAAGUGAUUCAUCAGAUCAACAACUACACCAUCAGCAACAACGACAAAGCCUGUAAUCAGAUCAGGAAAUACCACAACUAUGUCUUAAUGAAGAUCACCCAGCUCUAGAGUGUUCACGAUCUCAACGCAGCAGAAAAAGGCCAGCUUGGAUGGAAGAUUAUGAAGUGAGUGGUGUUGUUCAAACUGGUGAGCAAUCUGAUGAUUUUUCCCAUUAUGCAUUUUUAUCCGAUUGUGAUCCUAUCACAUUUGACGAAGCUGCUAAAGAGUCAAAAUGGCAAAAAGCCAUGGACGAGGAGAUCAUGUCUGUCGCACGUGUGCGGCGUCGCGGCGAAAAUUAUAUAGUUUUUCCAUUUUUUUUUAUCUACAAUGUAAAUCUAUCUAUAUCUGUUGGGGAGACAAGAAAAUAUUGUCUUUUGUUGGUGGAAAAAAUGGAAUGUGAGUCGCCACCUAGUAUUUUGGUCACUAGGAACCCUAACUAGUCUCAGAGAUCGGGCACAAAGACUGGUUGCAUAAAGGAAGGUAUUAGCAUCCCAAAUACGCCCUACCUAAGGUAAGCUGCAUUGUUUUAUUGUCUAAUAAAAUCUAAGAUCUUUUCGUGUUUUCCUAGUUGGUAUGGUUCAAGAAAAGUCCUCCUCGGUAAGGAGAUCCUUAUCUUAAUGGGUAAUUCUGACGUUAACAAAAGAAUUUAAUAUUCAGAAUAUGUCUUACGUAUAAGAUCGUAACCCCAAAUACUAAAAGAAAACACAAUAAUUUUUUUGGAAUUUUUGAAAUAUUGACCUAGUUCUCAUGGCUUGAAUAAACUAGUUAUUAAAGCCAAAAUGCAUGCUAAUAUAUAUAUUGUUUUGAAAUUUCCUUUUGUUGUGUGAAAAUACGAUGUUAUAAUAUUUAUAUAUAUAUAUUGGAGAGACUAGGCCGUAUGCAUGAAAAUAAAACAUUUGUUUUACGAAAACCGGGUAUUUUAAUACCGGAUUUGUAUCUUUACAGUAUAAAAAUACAAACCGGUAUUGAUCAAAAUACAGUAACAAAAUUGUGGAAAAUCACAUAUUUUUUUAAAGGUUUUUUUUUGGAAUUUAAAACUUUUUUACUAGACCGGACCCGACCCAAAAAGGGGACUGGGCCGAAAUUGGCUCGAAAUAAAACAAGCCUACUUUCUACAGGGCUGGACUUAGUCCAGGCACCUGGGCUGGGCUGAUAUUCCAGCCCGAAAUGAACAUGGACUGGUUAUUGUGCACCUGCACAGUAACCAGUUAAUUAAUUAGGUGGUUACUGUGCCUGUUAAUUAAUUAGACCUGCAUAGUAACCGGGGAAUUAAUUAGCUGGUUACUGUGCCCCUGCACAGUAACCAGCUAAUUAAUUUCUUACUUGCAGAACGUGCACAGUGCACGUUCUGCAUGCAAGAAGACGAAUACGAGAUAAAAGGGAAGAGUUACCUGCGACGAUGAGCUUGGGUAGAGGAGCUGACAGUGGUGCUGGUGGCGGUUUUGCUGACCGAAGGUUGGCUCUUCCUCUUCUCUGCUGCUUUUGUGUUAUUCUCUACUUCUGUUUCAAGCUUCCCUGUCUUCUUCUCUUUGGUUGCCUUUGCUCCUUCUAUCAACCAAGCUCUCCUAUCCCUGCAGCAGCUUCGUGGAGAUGCUGGUGGUGGCGGCCUGGGAAGUGGCCUGGAUGGUGGUCGGUGGCCGGGGAGCCCGGUGAUAGCAACUGUUCCUCUGCAGCGGCUCCUUCUCUUCUGUGUUUGGCCCUCUCCUUUGUCUCCGCUCAAAAACUUCACCUCCCCUCCUCUGUUUUGGUUUCUCUCUUUUCUAUACUCUCACAGUAUCUUUCAUCGUUUCAAACUUCCCUCUCCUUUAAGUUUCCAAAAGCCCUCUCUCGUCCAAAACAAAUCCCCCUCUCUGUCCGUUUUUCUCCUCUCCUCCUUCAAUGUUUUUGGGUACUAUUUAUAGAGCCAAGGAGCGGGGCUUUUUGCUAGUGCUCCUUGGGAGCAAAUCACGCGGUGGCUGGUCGGCCAAUGACUUCGGUCGAUGGUCCAAAGGUGUGGGGUCGGUCGGUAGGUGCGAGGAGAGAGAGGCGGGAAGAUUUUAAAAACAAAGGUUUUCUUCUCCCCCUGCUGCACGUUCGGCGGGGGGGAAGAAGAAAGAGGAACAUUGUCGUUCAAAACGACACUGUUCCGGUCUUUUUUUUAUUUUAUUUUUUUAUUUUAUGUAUGAAACGACGUCGUUUUGGAGAAAACGCGCCGUUUCAUUUAAAAAUGGCGCCAGUACGCGCCAAAAUUCAAAUCAGCCCUCAAUUAUCUUUUGUUCAUUUCAAUUGUGUCCCUGCCAAUUUCGGUCCCCGCCCCCAUAGUUGGCCGCGUUUUUCACUUCGGUUCUUAACCUCUGAUUUAUGCAAUUGAGCCCUCAAUUGAUCAAUAAACUUCCAAAUUCUUCAAUUAGGCCCCUGAACCGAAUAAUUGCAGCCCCUCCAUUUACGCGCCUCUUCCAAUUUGGUCCCUGGUUUCGGAUUUUCUCAAUUAAGUCCCUAAUUGGCCAUUAAACUUCAAUAUUUAUGCAAUUAAGCCCCUGAUUUGACCCAAUAAAUUCCUAAAAAAUAUAUUUUGGCCCAGAACUUAAAUUUCUUCUAAUUAAAGCCCAAAUUGACUUAAAAAUCAAUUUUUCUUGCAUUCAAAUCCUCUAUAAAUUCAAUUAAAAAUCCAAUUAAGUCCAUAAACCUCCAAAUUUGGACUUUUCUUCUCAAAAAUCAAAAUUUCUUAUCCACCAGGGCUCUUAUCAUUCAAGAAUAUAUUGUCAAAAAUCCAUCUUUGUAUUUUUAACCUACUUGACUAAUUUUUCUGACCAUUUUCUGAGCGCUCCUGCCUCCUGUUAUUUUUCUAACAUCCUUUGGCUAUUUAUUUUAUUUUAUUUAUUUUUGUGGGGACCCGAAAAUGGGUUACAACAAUGUCCAUUGAAAGAAACAAUAGCUGGGAACUGACCAUACUUCCUGAAGGUAAAAAAUCCAUUGGUGUUAAAUGGAUAUACAAAACUAAGCUGAAGGAAGAUGGUAGAGUAGACAAGUACAAAGCACGACUUGUUGCAAAGGGGUACAAGCAAGAAUUUGGUAUUGAUUACAAAGAGGUAUUUGCACCAGUUGCAAGAAUGGACACUAUUCGGUUGGUAUUAUCACCUGCUGUUCAGAAUUCAUGGCUUAUCUAUCAACUUGACGUAAAGUCUGCGUUCUUGCAUGGAGCUUUGGAAGAAGAGGUGUACAUUGAUCAACCUCCUGGAUAUGUGAAACAAGGUCAUACAUAUCAGGUAUACAAAUUAAAGAAAGCACUAUACGAGCUGAAACAAGCACCAAGGGCUUGGUACAGCUGUAUAGAUGCUUACUUUAAGAGGGAAGGUUUUCUUAAAUGCCCUUAUGAGCACACUCUAUAUGUUAAAUCUGGAGUUGAUAAGAAGGUGUUAGUUGUGUGCUUAUAUGUUGAUGAUCUCAUUUAUAUGGGUAAUGAUAGAUCCAUGUUUACUGAGUUUAAGAGUUCUAUGAUGAAGGAAUUUGAUAUGACCGAUUUGGGGUUGAUGCAUUAUUUUCUGGGCAUUGAAGUAGUGCAAUCAUCUUAUAGUAUAUUUAUCUCACAUAAAAAAUAUGCUAUGGAAAUUUUAGACAGGUUUAAAAUGACGAAUUGUAAUUCGGUUUCCACCCCAACUGAUCUCAGCUUGAAGCUCGUCAAAGAUGGUGCAGGAGAGAAAGUGAAUGCUACUCUUUAUAAGAAAAUAGUUGGGAGUCUUAUGUAUUUAACAUUAACCAGGCCAGAUAUCAUGUAUGCUGUCAGCUUAAUCAGCAGAUAUAUGGAGUGUCCAGCUGAAGCACACCUCUUGGCUGCAAAAAGAAUUUUUCGCUACUUGAAAGGCACUGCAAACUAUGGAAUCCUGUAUAAAAGGGAUAGCAAUUCAACCAUGAUUGGUUUUUCAGAUAGUGAUUAUGCAGGAUCUCUUGAUGAUAGAAAGAGUACUUCCGGAUUGGUGUUCAUGUUAAAUUCUAGAGCUGUUUCAUGGUCAUCGAAAAAACAACAAAUAGUAGCUUUAUCAACCACUGAAGCUGAAUUUGUUGCUGCAACAUCAACUUCAAGUCAAGCAAUUUGGUUACGCAGGCUACUUGAAUUCUUACACAACAACCAGCAACAAGGUCCGACCUUAAUCUACUGUGAUAACAUGUCCACCAUAAAGCUUUCAAAGAAUACAGUACUACAUGAGAGAAGCAAACACAUUGAUGUCAGGUUUCAUUUCUUACGUGAUCUAUGUAAAGAAGGUGUUAUUGAUCUGGUAUUCUGCAAGAGUGAAGAUCAGAUUGCAGAUAUAUUAACUAAGCCUCUUAAGCCUGCAAUUUUUGUCAAGCUUCGAAAUCUACUUGGACUGUGCUCUUCAAAAGCUGUCAUCAGAGAACGAGUAGUAGCUGUUAAUUCCUAAACCAAUAUCUACAGAUAUUAGUUUAAGGGAAGGUGUUAAAAUAAGUUAUAUUGAUUAUGUUUUUGAGUUUGUCUAGAAUAAGUCAUGGAAGACCUAUUCUAUAGGAAAUAUCUAUUUUGUAGGAGUUCCAUCCACGUAUUUUAUUGUUAUUCUAUUAAGAUUUCCUUGCUUCUGUUGCUAUUUCCUUGCUACUGUAUAAUCUAUUUAAAGGCUUGUUAUUGAUUCAUUCAAUACACUGAAUGCAUUAGUUUUUUAUUUGUUCUUAUUUACAUAACAGUGGGAGGUUCGUAUGAUUACCUGCUCUAAGGUAAUUAAUCCAACCCUAUUUAUCUUUUUUUAUUUUAUAGAUGUUUUGCAUCUAGAUUAAUGAAUUAGAAUGUUACCUUUAUUUUUAUCACGUUAAAAAGAAAAUUUCAAAAAUAAUUUUUAAUAAAAUCCUAGCUAUAAAAGUGAAUGAAUGAAUUUCUAAAAGUCUUCGUCAACUUUUAGAGUCUUCCAGCUGGACCACAAACAAUAAGUGGGGUCUUUUCCAGCUGUUGUCUGUUAGGAUGGAAAUGGCAGCUCAAAUCCCAGGGUGUGAGGCUUGGGUUUUGCAGAGUCUUUUUAUUUGUAAAAACAAUAACAGUAACCAGACAGAUAAAAAUUACAAAUCGCUGACAUUACUAUAUAAGUAUCUGACCGAAACAUAAUAUUUUUUUUUAAAAUAAUUUUUCAUGUUAAAUGCAUAUUAAUAAUAUUAAAAUAAUAAUAUAAAUUUAAUUUUUUUAAAAAUACUUAUAAAAUAUAAAAACAAACAAGUUUUUUUAUCAGCUCAGUUGUUGUUUCAACAAUCUCCGCGCGUCCCGUGACUCGUUGAAUGAUCUCUCCUGUCAAAAUUACCAAAUCACUUAAUUAAUACGGAUGCUUAAACAAAUUUCAACACAACUGUAAAAAGGAAAUGAAAAUAUCACACAAAUUAUUAUCAAACAAUCACAAAAAUAUUUGGAAGGAACCGAAUCUGAAUUAUUACAACAUACAUAGCUCUAAAUUACACUACACCAUCACUUCUUCUUCUACACUUAAAUUUUAUUUGAAAAUGUGGUUAUAAUCAGGGGCGGAGCUAGGAUUAUUUAUUAGGGAGGUCAAAAUUAAUAUAAUAAGAUAUAAUAUUUGUUUUAAUUUAUUAUAUAUUAGUUGUAAAACAAAACCUACAAAAUUUAGUUUUAUUCAAAUAACUUACUACAAACAUAUAAUAACCUUUGUAUAAGGUAAAAGGUUUGGAGCAAUACCAAAUUGAGUCAAAGCAAUGAAGUUAAUUUCAUCUUCAUAAUGUAUUGAUCACUUUAAUGUCGUUGGUUUUUAUACCUAUCAAAUAUAAACAUACAAAGUAUAUAAGAAACAUUAGCUAAAACAAAGCAUUAUUUAUGUUUGAUAAACUUUGAAAUAAAGCAAAAAAUAAUAAAGAAUGAUUCUUACAUAUUUAUUUUAAUUAUGUUCAUCGUUUUUUCAUAGAAUAGAAAUCAUCGAUUAUCAUAUCAGUUGUGAAUCUUUCAACAAUUUCUUUUUCUAUAUAGACAAUCAAAUAAUUUGCAAGAAAAUCAUCCUCCAUGCUAUUGCAAAGUUUUGUUUUAACAAUCUUCAUCGCUGAAAAAGCUCAUUUAGUAGCCUGUGAGUUAUCAAUUUUUUUUUCAAAAAAAGAAUCAAUUCUUCUUAUUUUGUUAAUGGUUCAACCUAAAAUCAAAACAUAUAUCGUAAGAAAAAAUUGAUAAUUUUGAUGGCUCUGCUAAUAAAAAAAUCCAAGCAUAAUCAAAACAAACCAAUAAAAUAUAUCUAAUUAUUUAGAGAAAAAAAUCACUAUAACAAGAAUUCAAAAAACAAUUGGUAGAACUAGCAGAUAUGAGAAAAAAAAAGGAGCAAAAAUGGUAGAAUUAUAUAAAAAAAAUCCUCAUCAAAUUAUUAACAAACAUCUCAAAACAAAACAAAAAUAUAUUUUAAAUUUAAAUUAUUUUAUUUUGUUUGAUGAAAGAUAAAUUAAUUAGUAGCUCUGCUUCAACUUUUUUGUAGAAAAAGUUUGCUCGCGAUUAGUGUUUUUAUUUUUGUUUUUGAUCGACCAGGAUUUAUAUUAGGGUAAAUUAGUAGCUCUGUUUUUUAUUUUACAAAAUAAUGUUUUUAUAUUUUUUUUCUUUUCCAUGUAGGUCAAGAAUAAAUUCAAAGGAAAUCAAAAGUGAAAUCACAGCCCACCUCUUUAAAAUAAAAUAAAAAAUAUAAUACUUCCUUAUAUUUAAUUACCUAAUUACCUAAUAAAAAUAAUAAUAAAUUGCAGGGGGGGCUCGGGCCCCUGCUUGCCCCCCUUGCUUCCGCCUCUGAUUAUAAUUAUUUUUCAAAUAACUUUUCGUGUUAAAAUAUAUGUCGAUGAUAUUUUUUUAUUUAAAAAAAAUUAUUUUUAACAUCAACAUAUUAAAAUAAUUUAAAAAUACUAAGAAUAUAUUAAUUUAAAAUAAAUAAAAAUUUAAUUUUUUUCCAAAUUUUUUUUAAAAUGUGAACUAAGUCUUCGUCGAUUUAGACUCUCUCGGCUGGACCCCAAAUCAACAUUAAUAAGAGGGGUCGGUUCCAGCUGUCGUCUUGCUGAGUCAGCAGUAAUACUAAGAGGGGUCGGUUCCAACCAUGGAUAUUUGGUUACAAAAAUUAAAUGCCUUUAUAUGAAGAGAACUUAAAACUAGAGUGUAAAUAUUUUUAGACGCAGAAACUGGCAGAACACAAGGUAACAAAAGGUUCAGAAUUAUAGAAGCAAAAGAAAGUUCCGUAGAAAAUGAAACUGUAAAAUCUCCGAGUUCGUUUUUCUGGUUAGCAAGAAAGAGUGCAUAUGAAAAUUACAUGAUUUAACCGGAGUUAAAAUGACAUGAUUUAACCAGGUUAACCCACCAAACCUGCGAUUAAUAUAAUGAGAAUGUGAGAACUUAAUAAUAAAAAAAUAAUAUUAAAAUAAUAAAAUUAAAAAAAAUUAAUUAAAAAAAUCAUUAAAAAAAAACACAACACUACUCAAAUAAAUAAUGUUUUAUGAGAAGAGAUAAAGUAUAAUCCUUUCGUCAAUUUAGUUUAUAGUUAUAGUAUUUUCUAUUGAAUCUAGGUUUUUCCCGGGCAUAUGACGGCUAAACCGGUUUCGAUUUGUUUUUUUUUUUUAAUUUUGAUUUGAUUACUUUUUUUUGAUAAAAACCGAAUCGAACCGAAAAUGAUCACCUCUAUUUCUGUCACAAACCAAAUAUGUUGAGGAUUUGUUGGCUAAAUCUGAAAUGAUUGAAGCUAAACCUUGUGAUACUCAAUGUCUCCCUUACCAUAGGCUACUCAAAGAGGAUGGGAACCUUAUUCAAAUCCUAAGUUGUACAUAAGCAUUGUAGGGGCUCUGCAAUACUUAACUUUCACAAAGCUAGAUAUUACCUUUUCUGUGCACCAAGUAUUUUAGUUUAUGCAGAAUUCCAUGAUGUCUCAUUUUACUGCCGUUAAACGUAUAUUAUGACACCUAAAGGGCACCAUCCAGUUUGGUAUAUCAUAUACUAGAGGAGAUUUGCAGUUAAAAGCCUUUAGAGAUACUGAUUGGAUGGAGGACCCUAAUGACAGGAGAUCUACCACUAGUUUGGUGGUUUUUUUGGGUAACAAUCCAAUUUCAUGUUCCUCUAAGAAGCAACAAAUUGUUUCUAGAUCAUUGACCGAAGCUGAGUAUCACGCUUUGUUAUCUCAGCUGAGUUGGAUUGGAUAAAACAGUUAUUAGCGUUUCUGCACAUUUCACUACUUCAUGUAGAGAUACCUGGUAAACAACUGUCAGUGCAGUUUGUGUCCUCACAAGAGCAGUUUGUUGAUAUUCUGAUCAAGGGGUUGAGUGCUCUCUGUUCUGCGCUCAUUGUUGCAAUCUCAUGAUUGGUUUCUCGAAGCCUGAUUUUGAGGGGGAUGUUAGAAUAUAUUAUUUCAGAUUGCCACACUUCUCAUAAUCUUAAUAUAGUAGAUAGUUAGUUAGUUAGCUAGCUGAAGUUUGUUAUUUUGUUAUCGACAGCUUUAUAUCUAACUAUCUCGUGUAAUGACUAUCAAUAAGUGAGAAUUUAUCACUCUUCUCUUCUCUCUCUUUCUCUCUAUUUGAUAUUGAUUUAAUCUACAAGAUUACAGUUUCUGCUUAAUCAAUUGAUAUAGAUUAACAAUUGAUAGCAUGCUGAUUGAUACAAAUCAUUUUGCAGAGAAAACAAGACGAGGAAGAAACUAGCACUGUUCAUUUAAUGAAGUACAUUAUAGCAAUCUCACAGGAAACACAAACAGAACACACUUUUAUUUGUAGGACACGAUGGAAAUGGUGGAAACUAUUUCACUUGAAUGACAGAACACACUGCUUGUAUGACCGUGAGUAUUAGAAGAGCCCCAGCUGCAACAACAGAGAUGGAAACCCAUGGAUUAUGGAAAUAAUUUUGUUUCAAGGCUGCUAUCCAUUUGUGCCUCCGCUUUCUGCAGUACUUAUUCAGAUCUUCAACAACAUCAGCAUAAUAAAAAUUGUCAAGGAAGACCCCAUUUCCUCUGUCAAGAUCAUGGAGAACACUCAUAACUGCAUCAUUAUCACUGAGCCAAUUAUCUAUAAUUCCUUUCUUAGCAAGUAUUUCUACAUCAUUAGUACCACGAACAAGGAAAUUGAUGGUAGCGAUAUAGUCACUUACGUAUCCACUUCUGCAAUGGCAUUGCUCAAAGGCGUGGAUGUUUCUAAAUAACUUCUCUGUUUCAUCCUCUAAAAGUAGUGGUGGUAUUUCCAGUAUCCCUUUAUGAAAAUCAAAGUUCAUGUCAAAUAUUUUUUCCCUGGACCCCAACUUAAACUUGAUUCCAGAGUGAUGGAGCUCCAUUGCACUUGGUGCGGUGAGAGUUUCAAGAGGCUCUGACGGUUUCUGCUUUGCUGGCUGCUGACACUUUCUUAGAAAGUCAACAAAAUGCUCUACUUGAGAGGAUUUGAUUUGCCCCAAAAUGUCCUUUGCCACCCAUGAAUCCCCAAAUGUGCUUGAUAAGAAAUGACGAGUAAGCUCAAUCAUGGAAAAUCCAACCUGUAUUUUGGAAAGCUUGAACAAGUCGUCAAGAAUGAAGAAUGGAAUCUGAUUUUCAAGCAAGCACAUGUCAAAAUGGAUUCCUCUUACCAUCCACGGUUUACCGAAUAUACGGUCAUUGUUGCUUCGGCUGAAAUGGUGAAAGCACAUCAGGAAGACCAUAAUGAUGAAGGAGCUAUCUAGCAACAUCAUUUUCACAAAGUCCUCUGUACCAAUUGUGAAACCAGCCACCUAAGUCAACAAUGGUGGGAGUCAACAAUGGUGGUGAAGCCAUCCUUCCUUAGUCACAAAUUGUAGGCACCAAACUUGUGCCACUUGCCUUGCCCCUUGUAUUUGCAUGGAUGUUUGCCUAUAAAUAGGCAAUGCAUCCAAGCAUUGUAAACACACAAUAAGAGAGAAACAAGAGGAAGAGGAGAGUGAAGAGGGAAAAUAAUCCCACAAAGUUGUGAGGUAUUUGUGAGAGAGUAAGUGAGGUAUUUGUGAGAGAGUAAGUGAGGUGUUUUCUCUUAGUAAUAGAGAGAUUCUUAGUUGUUCUCCUAUUAUUUGAGAGAUGUUGUAAUUCCCACAUUACUUAGUAAAAUCCUUCUAUACUUGCCCGUGGACGUAGCCUAAUUGGGUGAACCACGUAAAUUCUUGUGUGUGUCAUUGCUCAUUUUAUCUUAUCCCUUGUCUUUUGUCUUGUCGGGUUUGCAUGCCAGUAUCCUAACAGUGGUAUCAGAGCCUUCCUGGUUGGUGUUGUUAACACACAAAAGUUAUUCGUGUAUACGGUUACUUUUCACAUCUACGGUUACUAUUCACCUAUACGGCACUAUUCAUCCAUACCGUACUGUUCACUUACGCUACUGUUGGCGUAUAUAGAAAGUCAGUGCGGUGAUUAAAUACAGUCUAGGAAGUUCUGUCUAAGGAGAUUGGGUUUUAAGCGGGACCGUUUGUGACCCCUCCAAUCUUUCCUGGGAACUUACUUAGUGAAGUAUUAUUCACACGAUACUAUUUCUAUAUACGUUACAGAUCUGUGAAACAGUGAUAGCUAAAUAGAUCUCGGUGAAUACAAUGGCAGCAAAGUACGAGAUUGAGAGGUUCAAAGGGAGCAAUUUCUCAUUAUGGAAAAUGAGAAUCAAGGCAAUCUUAAGGAAAGACAAUUGCUUGGCAGCAAUUGGGGAUCGGCCCGCAGAGAUCAUUGAUGAUGCAAAAUGGAAUGAGAUGGAUGGCAAUGCUAUUGCUAACAUACAUUUAGCAUUAGCCGAUGAAGUAUUAUCAAGUGUGGCGGAGAAGAAAACAACUAAGGAGAUAUGGGAGACUCUAACCAAGCUAUAUGAGUCCACGUCUUUGCAUAAUAAGAUUUUCUUAAAGCGGAGACUUUAUACCCUUCGAAUGGCAGAAACCACGUCGGUGACUGACCACAUCAACACAAUAAGAACUCUAUUUUCACAACUCACUAUGUUGGGUCAACAAAUAGAGGAACAUGAACGUGCAGAGCUUCUACUUCAAAGUCUUCCUGAUUCGUAUGAUCAGCUCAUUAUCAACUUGACCAAUAAUAUCCUCUCAGACUAUUUAGUCUUCGAUGAUGUUGCAGCUGCUAUCUUGGAAGAAGAAAAUAGGCGCAAAAACAAAGGAGACAGAAACAGUUCAAACCAAGCUGAGGCAUUGUUGGUAUCAAGAGGAAGAUCAACGGAACGUGGCUCAGUGGGAGUCAAAGGCAGGGGAGGUCCAAAUCAAGAAGUAAGAAGACGGUGAAAUGCUACAACUGUGGCAGAAAAGGGCACUUCAAAAAGGACUGUUGGUUUAAAAAGGGUAUAGAGAAUACUGCAGAGUCAUCAAAACCUCAAGGAUGUGUUGCAAGCACCUCAGAAGAUGGAGAGGUUCUAUAUAGUGAAGCAGCAACAAUCUCUACAGAUAGAGAAGAGCUCACUGAGGUCUGGCUAAUGGAUUCAGGAGCAACAUGGCAUAUGACCCCUAGACGAGAUUGGUUCCAUACAUAUGAACCUAUCUCUGGAGGCACAAGUGUUCAUGGGUGAUAAUCAUGCUGUAGAGAUUUCUGGCAUUGGCACCAUCAAAUUGAAGAUGUAUGAUGGCUUAAUUCGUACUAUUUCAGGAGUGCGACAUGUGAAAGACUUAAAGAAGAAUCUUUUGUCCGUAGGACAAUUUGAUAGUCUUGGCUGUAAGAUCCGAACAGACAAUGGAAUCAUGAAAAUUGUCAAAGGCGCGCUGGUGGUUUUAAAGGCAAGAAAGACAGUUGCAAACAUGUUUGUAUUAAUGGGAGAAACACAUCAUGGGGCAGAAGCAUCAAUCGCAUCAGCCAGUCCUGCAGAAGAGAAGACGAUGAUGUGGCAUCAAAAACUAGGCCACAUGUCAGAGAAAGGUUUAAAGGUUCUCUCUGAUCAGAAGUUACUCCCUGGGCUUACAAAGGUUACUUUACCCUUUUGUGAGCACUGUGUUACAAGCAAACAACAUAGGUUGAAGUUUGGCACGUCAACAACUAAGAGCAAAUGCAUCUUAGACCUGAUUCACUCUGAUGUUUGGCAAGCAAUGGUUGUAUCCUUGGGAGGAGCAAGAUACUUUGUAUCAUUCAUAGAUGACUUCUCCAGGAGAUGUUGGGUGUAUCCGAUUAGAAGGAAGGCAGAUGUGUUUGCAGUUUUUAAAACCUUCAAAGCGCGGGUAGAACUUGAAUCUGAAAAGAAGAUCAAGUGUUUGAGGACUGACAAUGGAGGAGAAUAUACCAGUGAUGAAUUUGAAUGCAAAUGGAAGAAAAUAAUAGCAUUUUAAAUGAGACUACAGAAGUCCAGAUGGAAAAUACUCAGAAUCGUACUUCUUCUGAAGUUGCACCAGAGCAUGAAGAACAAGAACAAAUAGAGUCUGAAACUCCUGAAGUUCGACGGUCAACUCGUGAAAGAAGACCACCGGCUUGGCACUCAGAAUAUGUUACUGAGAGCAAUAUUGCAUACUGUCUUCUAACAGAGGAUGGAGAGCCAUCAACUUUCCAUGAGGCUAUCAAAAGCACAGAUGUAUCUAUGUGGAUGACAGGAAUGCGAGAGGAGAUUGAAGCUCUGCACAAGAAUAACACUUGGGAUCUUGUUCUGCUACCACAAGGAAGAAAGGCCAUUGGCAACAAAUGGGUUUACAAGAUAAAGCGUGAUGGCAAUGAUCAAGUGGAGCGGUAUCGUGCAAGAUUGGUGGUGAAAGGAUAUGCUCAGAAAGAAGGAAGAGACUUUAAUGAGAUAUUUUCUCCGGUGGUACGACUUACUACAAUCAGAGUAGUCUUGGCAAUGUGUGCUAUAUUUGAUCUUCACUUAGAGCAGUUAGAUGUGAAAACUGCAUUUCUUCAUGGAGAACUUGAAGAAGAAAUUUAUAUGCUCCAACCAGAGGGUUUUGCUGAAACAGGCAAGGAGAACUUGGUUUGCAGGUUGAACAAAUCUCUAUACGGUCUCAAACAGGCGUCGAGGUGUUGGUACAAGAGAUUUGAUUCCUUCAUAAUUAGCCUUGGGUACAAUAGACUCAGUUCAGACCAUUGUACGUAUUACAAGAGGUUUGAAGAAAAUGAUGUUUUCAUCAUUUUGUUAUUGUACGUGGAUGACAUGUUGGUAAUAGGCCCCAACAAAGAUCGAGUCCAAGAAUUGAAGGCAUAGUUGGCUAGGGAGUUUGAUAUGAAGGACUUGGGACCAGCAAACAAGAUUCUAGGGAUGCAAAUUCACCGAGACAGAAGUAAGAGGAAGAUUUGGCUUUCUCAGAAGAAUUAUUUAAAGAAGAUCUUGCGACGCUUCAACAUGCAAGAUUGUAAGCCAAUUUCCACCCCACUUCCUGUUAACUUCAAAUUAUCCUCAAGUAUGUCUCCUAACAAUGAAGCAGAGAGAAUGGAGAUGUCUCAAGUACCGUAUGCAUCAGCAGUGGGAAGUUUAAUGUUUGCCAUGAUAUGUACAAGACCAGACAUUGCACAAGCAGUGGGAGCAGCUAGUCGAUACAUGGCAAAUCCUGGUAGAGAGCAUUGUAAUACUAUUAAGAGGAUCUUGAGAUACAUCAAGGGUACCUCAGAUGUCGCAUUAUGUUAUGGAGGAUCAUAAUUUACUAUCAUAGGUUAUGUUGACUCAGAUUUUGCUGGUGACCUUGAGAAAAGAAAAUCCACUACAGGCUAUGUGUUCAUAAUUGCAGGAGGAGCUGUGAGCUGGGUCUCUAAACUUCAGACUGUUGUAGCGUUAUCCACAACAGAAGCUGAGUAUAUGGCAGCUACACAGGCUUGUAAAGAAGCAAUAUGGAUGAAGAAACUUAUGGAGGAGCUCGGGCACAAACAAUAGAAGAUUCUUUUGUAUUGUGAUAGUCAGAGUGCCUUGCAUAUUGCAAGGAAUCCAGCGUUUCAUUCAAGAACAAAACAUAUAGAUGUUCAGUAUCACUUUGUUCGCGAAGUGGUGGAAGAUGGAAGUGUGGAUUUUCAGAAGGUUCACACAAAGGAAAACCUAGCAAAUGCUUUAACCAAACCAGUCAACACUGAUAAAUAUAUAUGGUGCAGAUCCUCUUGUGGCCUAGCAGAAACGUAAGCAGAAUGAAGAUGGCAAGUAUUGAAAGGAUAGAAGAAUCAUAAAUGAUGAAGUGUGAAGACUUGAUUCAAUCAUCAAAGUUUUCAAGUGGGAGAAUGUGAAACCAGCCACCUAAGUCAACAAUGGUGGUGAAGCCAUCCUUCCUUAGUCACAAAUUGUAGGCACCAAACUUGUGCCACUUGCCUUGCCCCUUGUAUUUGCAUGGAUGUUUGCCUAUAAAUAGGCAAUCCAUCCAAGCAUUGUAAACACACAAUAAGAGAGAAACAAGAGAGGAAGAGGAGAGUGAAGAGGGAAAAUAAUCCCACAAAGUUGUGAGGUAUUUGUGAGAGAGUAAGUGAGGUUUUUUCUCCUAGUAAUAGAGAGAUUCUUAGUUGUUCUCCUAUUAUUUGAGAGAGGUUGUAAUUCCCACAUUACUUAGUAAAAUCCUUCUAUACUUGCCCGUGGACGUAGCCUAAUUGGGUGAACCACGUAAAUUCUUGUGUGUGUCAUUGCUCAUUUUAUCUUAUCCCUUGUCUUUUGUCUUGUCGGGCUUGCAUACCAGUAUCCUAACACCAAUAUGUUCAGAAUUAUCUGCAUAACAGUUGCGCAAUGUUGUCUCCCUCUCUGUAAUAGCUGCAAUACAUUCCUUAACACUUACCUCACUCAGUUUAAGAAACUCUUGCAGGUAUAUUUUUUUAUGCUCUUCCAUUUCUUUCAGCUCUUCUUUUCCAUAGUGAAUGGGCCCAAUGGAGACUAUUUGAGGUGUGUAGGCAUGGUCCUUCGAGUCUCGUAGUCUUUUAGGAAUUCUGUAGAUGGAACACUUAUUGGAGAAGGGAAGCAAGGUUUUCAACUCCUCUUCCACAGACUCUGUUAAUUUGUCAAUGUCAAGAGAAACAUGAUCAUUCCUCUUCAUCUGCUCAGUUGUUGCUCCAACAAUCUCCACCUUACGCAAAUCUCAAUUGAUCAGAUGUUUUUCGGUAUUACAAAUGUCAAAGGACGAGUUCAAACGAAAAACUUAAGCUAUAGAUGAGACCACGAUGAUUUAUAUUAUUCACAAUCAUCAGAUCAAAUAUUAGUGCAGACAAAUGUAAAAACGAGAUGAAAAUAUCUGAAGUCAUGUCUUUGACUACACAAUUUGCGAACAGAUUAGUAAAAAGAUAUAUAGAUUCUCUAAAUUAUAACUUACACUCGUAGAUUUGCUUAAAAACUUUCCUUCUUGAAAAGCAGAACACUAUCUUUAAAAGGUGCUAUGAAGCUUUUCUGAAGAGUUUUCUUGUUUGAAGUAGGAUCGACUGGCUUACAAGGCUUGCCUGGUGAACUAGUGGUGUUUUCUGCAAUUCCACACCUCUUCUUAUUCUAGCUUUACAAUGUCUUUAACAACCUCCUGGUCCUCUGGUCAUGGCAAGGCAUUGAGUUACCUUUAUGCUUUCUAUGCUUGAGUGAUGGUUUAAGAAUAUACAAUAUAUGCUGCUAUUAUGGCAUCUGGAUGCAGAGGAACUUAAGAGUACAUUGGGAGAAGGGAAUCUCUCUAAUUAUCUCUGUCGCAUGUGUGCGACAUCGCGACGAAAACAUUCAUUCUAAAAAAUAUCUCUUAUUUAUUUAUCUGACAAAUAUAGGGAGACAAUGAAUUCUUGUCUUUUAUUAGUGGAAAAAUAGAAUGAGAGUCGCCACCAAAUAUUUUGAUCACUAGGAAUCCUAACUGGUCUCAAAGAUCAGGUAUGAGGACUGGUUAUAUAAAGGAAAGGUAUUAGCACCCCAAAUACGCCCUACCUAAGUAAGCUACAUUAUUUUAUUGUCUGAUAAAAUCUAAGGUCUUGUGCUUUCUAGUUGUUGGUCCAUUUAUGGUUUAAGAAAAGUCCUUAGUAAAGAGAUCCUUGAUGUAACCAUAUUAUUCGAUAGUUUCACCCGCAUUUAACUAGUGUUUUGCAUAUGUUAUUUAUAUAAAAUGCCUUGAUAUUCUUUGUUUUAUGUUUUGAAGGCAUUUUUGGAUGAAAGAUGCAAAAAGGAGUAAAUUGGAGGUAAUUGGCAGAUUUGACGUUCAGUCGGUAUUUUGUGCAGAGCGUGAGUUCCAGAGAUCGAAAUGAAGUGAUUCCAGUGGCAUUAAAAAGCUAACAUCCAUACCUUUCUAGAAAUGUAAUGAAAGAAAAAUAAAAAGAGAAAUAUCAUGGAAAUCACAUCCUUCAAAGUCAAAUCUCGCAGUCUGCCAAUGUUGACCUUUGCCCAUUCAAAAUUCAAUAUCUGGAGCUUCAGAAAUACAAUUGAUGCAAACUCAAUUGUGUUGGAUUCAUUACUCAAAUCUAUAUAAACGCUCCAAAUAUCAGCCAAAAACGAUGUGAUAUGAGGGAGAUAUGAGUUUUUAAAGAUGACAGCUGAAUUCUGCCAGCAAGUAGGUUGCGUGAAGAAACGAAUCCAAAUUUCAUCCAGAAGCAUCCAAACCGACCAGCAAUUUAGCUCCUCUAAUAAAUAUUCUAGAAGGUCAAGGAAGGCAACCACCAACCUCAAGGCAGCCACCCACCUCAAGUCAGCCAGCAGCCAGCCACCAACCUCAAGUCAGCCAGCCGCCAGCCGCCUUCACACUACCACCAUCUAUUGAUGUUCACACUUGAACUUUGAUUUUCUUACUUACAAUUUGUGUAUAAAUAGAGGGUGAGUAGAAGGAGGUAGCAAGCAAGAAGGGAGGAAACACAAACUCUCCUCUCUACAAAUCAAAAAUUAUGUAUUCUUUCAUCUUUAGGAGUAGUUGUUCAAUAGAUAUGCAAGGCUAAGCUCGUUUUCUUGGUUGCAAGGACACAACAAACCUUCGGAUUUCAAGAACCGUGAGAUUUAUUCUUCCUUUUAUUUUCAAUUUAUGUUAUGAAUGAGUAUGAUUGUUUUCCUAUGCAUAUUUCCUAUGAUUGUUUAUCUUAAUUGCUAGAGCGGACUCUAAGUUAUUAUUGUGAACAAUCUAUUAUUGCGAAGCAACUAAGCUUGAUAAUUGUAGCGGAACUAUGUUAUUAAACUUAGGGAGAACAUUCGAUCAUAGCAACACAAAUUGACAACUUGGUUGUUAAGAUUAAUGAAUUUAUCUGGAUCUUAAGGCUGCCAUUGGAUUAAAUCAUUAGUGCGGACACUGUGAUUGCUUGUUGGUUAGGGCUAGUUAUACGGCGGAUCCGUUAAUUAACCAAUAUUAAGAAAAGAUAAAAUUCAUAAUAUAAACUGGAGUUUCGUUUCAAGGAUCGGUUCUAAUCUCUGUUGGUGGAUGUGUGCUUGCAACCAAGGUUUGUUUUCUUGAUAUAUUUCAAUUUCAAUUGACUUUGUUUGCUAGUUUAAUUGCUGCCAUAGCUUAGAUAAUCACAAACCAAAUCCCCCCAAUUACAUAACGUACAACAUAAAAAUCUGACUUGAAACUUCCUCGUGGGAUCGACCCCUUGCUUGCUCUAUACUAUCUUGUGUGUUUUAAGCUAGGGUAAUUAAUUUGUGCGACCGCGACAUCGCAACAAUCCUUAUCUUAUCGAGUAAAACCUAACUGUUCUGACAUCAAUAAAAAAAUUUAAUAUCUGAAAUACAUCUUACGUAAAUGGUUAUAACCCCAGAUAUUAAAAGAAAAAAAGAAAAUAUUUUUUUUUGAAAUUUUUGAAAUAUUGGCCUACUCCUCGUGUCUUUAAUAAACUGGUUAUUAAAGCCCAAAUGCAUGUUAAUACAUAUUUUUUGAAAUUUUCUUUGUUAUAUGAAAAUACAAUAUGAUGAAUUUUUUUUUAUUUUUGAGAGACUUAGCCAUAUGCAUGAAAACAAAAUAUUUUUUUGUUAUGUUUUGACAAAAACUAGGUAUUUUAAUACUAGAUUUGUAUCUUUAUAAUAUAAAAAUACAAACCAAUAUUGAUCAAAAUGUAGUAAAAAAUUUUAAAAAUCAUAUAUUUUUUUGAAAUAAUUUUUUUUAAAAAAAAUAUAUUUUUUUUUUUUUUUUUACUGGACCUAGCCUGGGUGACCCAUAAGAGGCACGCUUGCUCGACCACUGUUCAAGUCACUUGAUUAGUAAUUGUUGCUUGAGCAGUAAAACAUAACAAUGAAAAAAAACAAAUGCAUGCAGUGACAGAAACAAUGCAACGUGAAGAGAAAUAUGUGAAGCUUACCUGGUAUCUAAAACAGAUGAAGACGAUGGCGAUGGCGAUGAAGCUGCUGCGCAGGAUCGGUGGUGACUGGUUUUGGGGACGAUGAAGACGAUCAACGCUGGGUCUUUUUUCUUCUGGUUUUUCUCUGCUUUUUUUGAAAUGAUGAAGCCCCUGUGUUCUCCUCCUCUCUGUCUUUCCCUUCCCUUUUCUUUCUGUUUUUCUCUCCUGUAUUCCCCUCUCAACGGUUGUUGGCGUGGUUGCUGGGAUGAAGAAGAUGAUGAGCUGACGAUGGCGUUGGCAGUGCUGGUGCGGUUGUGAUGGAGAAUGGCAGGGGUUCUUCCCUUGUUUUUAUAUCUUUCUCGUCUUCUUCUUUCUCUGUUCCUUUCUGUAUUUUUUAUAAUCUUUUUCUCUCCCUCUGUUUCCCCCUGUUCUUUUUCUUUCCCUCUCUAUCUCGUCUUUUCUGUUUUUCCCCCCAUCCUCGUGUUCGGUUCUUCCUUUGGCUUUUAUAGCCAGAGGACGCAAGUGUGCUUUUGGUAACAGUCGUGUGCAUCACGGUGGCGAGGAACAUCAGCCGCGAGACGCGACUCCUGAUUGAAAACAGUUCCAUUAUCACUGCCAACGUCUCCUUGCCUUUACUAUCACAGUUGUUAUGUUUAAGAAGACAGUGAAUAGUGCUUCAAUGGAACGGCGCCGUUUGCAUUUCUUCUGAUUUGGUUAUUGAAGUUUUUUUACAAUUUUGUAAUCAAAACCCUGGAAAAACUGCAACUGGAUCCCUUAAUUUUAGUGUCUUUUCUGAUUUGGUCCUUGAUUUCGGAUUGUUUCAAUUAAGUCCCUAAUUAGCCAUCAAACUUCAAUAAUUAUGCAAUUGAGCCCAUGAUUUGACCAUAUCAACUCUUAAAAAUUAUGAUUGGACCCCAGAACUUUAAUUUCUUCCAAUGAAAGCUUAAAUUAACUUAAAACAUUAAUUGUUUUUACAAUCAAACCCUCACAUAAAUUCAAUUAAACCUCAUAUAAAAUUUAAUUAAGUCUAUAAACAUCUUAUUUUGGACUUUUUUUCCUCAAAUUGAAUUUUUCUUGUCCUCGGGGUUCUCAUUAGUCAAAAAUAUACUGUCAAAAUUUCAAUUCUUCUAUUUUUGAAUAUCUUUAACCAAUUUCUCGCCAUUUUGUGGGCAUUCCAAUACCUUUUUCUCACUCCUACUAUUUUUUGAUAUGUAUUUUUUUGUAUUUUUAAAUAUAUUUUUAUUUUUUGUGUGGAACCCAAAAAUAGAUAACAAUAACCUCAUUACGUGGAGAGUUCAGAUUGGCAGCAGGAAACUAGAAUUCUGAAGGAAGCUUUGUUAAAUCCUAAGUUUUCUAUUAUUAAAUACAAAUCCAUAGACAAGUAAGCGAGAAGCAUGCUUUUAUCUUCUCUUUUUUUUUGUAUGGCAGAAUGUUGAAUUUGCUUUAUGAUCUCCUUAUGUUUGACAGGGGCCGGCCAGCUUAAGAACCGCACAUGUAUUUCUCUUCUUUUUCUCUUUUAAAGUAUAGCAUAUGUUCUUCUUGCCGCAAUUUUAUUUUUUUUGAACUUGUUCUUAGUUUAUGCCCCGGCAUAUGUUUACCUACAAGCUCUUCAAUGCCAUUCAUUACAUGAUCCUUUUCUGACUAAUUGAUAGCAUGUUGAUUGAUACAAACCAUUUUGCAGAGAAAACAAGACGCGUAAGAAACUAGCACUGAUCAUUUAAUGAAGUACAUUAUAGCAAUCUCACAGGAAACACAAAUAGAACACACUUUUAUUUGUAGCAUUGAUUGAUACAAACCAUUUUGCAGUGAAAACAAGACGUGGAGGAAACUAGCAUUGAUCAUUUAAUGAAAUACAUGUAUAGCAAUCUCACAGGAAACACAAACAGAACACACUAUAAUUUGUAGGACACGAUCGAAAGGGUAGAACCUAUUUCACUUGAAUGACAGAGCACACUGCUUGUAUGACAGUGAGUAUUAGAAGAGCCCCAGCUGCAACAACAGAGAUGGAAACCCAUGGAUUAUGGAAAUAAUUUUGUUUCAAGGCUGCUAUCCAUUUGUACCUCCGCUUUCUGCAGUACUUAUUCAGACCUCCAACGACAUCAGCAAAACAGAAUCGUUUACUGUCAAAAACAUUUCCUCUGUCAAGAUCAUGGAGAGCACUGAUAACUGCAUCAUUAUCACUGAGCCAAUUAUGUAUAAUUCCUUUCUUAUCAAGUAUUUCUACAUCAUUAGUACCACGAACAAGGAAAUUGAUGGUAGCUAUAUAGUCACUUACGUAUCCAACUCCGCAAUGGCAUUGCUCAAAGGCGUGGAGGUUUCUAAGUAACUUCUCUGUAUCAUCCUCUAAAAGUAGUGGUGGUAUUUCCAGUAUCCCUUUAUGAAAAUCAAAGUUCAUGUCAAAUAUUUUUUCCGUGGACCCCAACUUAAACUUGACUCCAGAUUGAUGGAGCUCCAUUGCACUCGGUGUGGUUCGAUUCUCAAGAGGCUGUGGCUGUUCCCGCCUUGCUGGCCGCUGACACUUUCUUAGAAAGUCAACAAAAUGCUCUACUUCAGAGGAAUUGAUUUGCUCCAAAAUGUCCUUUGGCACCCAUGAAUCCCCAAAUGUGCUUGAUAAGAAAUCACGAGUAAGCUCAAUCAUGCAAUAUCUGCCCUGUUUUUUGGAAAGCUUAAGCAAGUCGUCUAGAAUGAAGAACGGAAUCUGAUUUUCAAGCAAGCACGUGUCCAUCUUCAUGUCUUCUAUCAUCCACGAUUUACCGAAUAUACGGUCGUUGUUUCUUCGGAAGGCAGGGGAAAACUCUUUCAGGAAGACCAUAAUGAUGAAGGAGCUAUCUAGCAACAUCAUUUUCACAAAGUCCUCUGUACUAAUAUUUUCAAAAUUAUCUGCAUAACAGUUGCGCAAUCUUGUCUCCCUCGCUGCAAUAGCUGCAAUGCAUUCCUUGACACUUAACUCACUCAGUUUAAGAAACUCUUGCAGGUAUAUUUUUUUAUGCUCUUCCAUUUCUUUCAGCUCUUCUUUUCCAUGGUGAAUGGGCCCAAUGGAGACUAGUUGAGGCGUGUAGGCACAUUCCUUCGAGUCGCGUAGUCUUUUAGGAGCUCUGUAGAUGGAACACUCAUAAGAGAAGGCAUGCAAGGUUUCCAACUCCCCUUCCACGGACGCUGUUAAUUUGUCAAUGUCAAGCGAAACAUGAUCAUUCCUUUUCAUCUGCUCAGUUGAUGUUCCAACAAUCUCCAUCCUGUGACGCAAAUCUCAAUUGAUCAGAUGUUUGCCGGAAUCACAGAGAAUCAUCAGAUCAAUCAUUGAAAUGAUCUCUACAGUCAAGAUUACCAAAUCAUUUAAUUAAUACGGAAGCUUAAACAAAUUCCAAGAGGAAAGUAAAGAGGAAAUGAAAAUAUCACACAAAAUAUUGUCAAACAUUCACAAAAAUAUUUACUACAACAUACAUAGCUUGAGGAAAUGAAAAUAUCACACAAAAUACACAAAAAUAUAUACUACAACAUACAUAGCUUGAGGAAAUGAAAAUAUCACACAAAAUAUUGUUAAACAUUCACAAAAAUAUUUACUACAACAUACAUAGCUUCUCUAAAUUACAACUUGCAUACUUAGAUUUGCUUCAAAACAUAUAUAGCAAAAACACUCAGCGGCCUUCUGGCAGAAACAAAAAACUCACUCAGUAGCUCUAGGUUUUUUCACAAACUAUGGUCUGAAGUGUUUCUGAUCAGAAUCUUUUUGAAUGUUUUGUUCCUGUAUUUCUCCAUCAGUUCUUAUUCUACACAAAGUCUUCGUCAAUAUAGACUUUUGCAGCUGAACAAUAAAUCAACAUUAUCAAGUGGGGUUGACCACAGCUGUUCUUCCUGGUUUGAAUUAUUUUAUAAAAUAAUUUUUAUUUAAAAAUAUAUUAAAAUAAUAUUUUUUUAUUUUUAAAAAUAACUUCUUACUUCAACACAUUAAAAAAAAAUUUAAAAAUAAAAUAAAAUUUAAAUUUUAAAAAAAUACAUUUCAAACAUGUUUCCAAAAAAGAGUUAUAUUUAUUAUUAUAAUGCUUUUUAAAAAAAAUUUAUUAAAUUUGUUUUAUAAUAUCAUUUUAAAACAACUAAAAAGUAAUAAAAAAAAAUUCAAUUUAAUACUUUUUAAAUGAAAUAAGUAGCUAUUUGAGCGCUCUCAAAAUAGUCUUUUGGCUAUUUGAGAAACUCUUGCAGGAAUAUAUUUUUUUGCUCUUUCAUUUCUUUCAGCUCUUUUUUUCCAUGGUGAAAGGGCCCAAUGGAGACUAUUUGACGUGCGUAGGCAUAUUCCUUCGUAGUCUUUUAGGAACUCUGUAGAUGGAAUACUGAUGGGAGAAGGGACGAAAGGUUUUCAACUCUCUUCCACAGACUCUGUUAAUUUGUCAAUGUCAAGCCAAACAUGAUCAUUCCUCUUCAUCUGCUCAGUUGUUGCUCCGACAAUCUCCAUCGAUCAGAUGUUAGAAAAAAAAAAACACGGAUAUACUUCUCAAAUUAUAUUAUUUACCACAUGAUUAAGAAUAAGAUUGUGCAUGCUAAAGAAAUAUGGGCUGGAUCUUUUCAGAUAUGUCUAUGCUCUUUCUUUUCGCUCUUACAAAGCUAAAACUUGACUGAGUUCGUCAUUCUCUUUUGCUUUAUGGUUCGUGAAACUCAAACUUUGCCAUUGCCAUAGAUGACCCUAAUGUGAAUUGAAUCCUGUUGAUGCUCUAUCGUUAGCUUCAGACAUUUUUAGACACUGAAACAGGCAGAACACAAGGUAAGAAAAGUUUCAGAAUUUCAGAAUUGAAUCCUGUUGAUGCUCUAACGAUUCCCUCUUUUGUAACUCCUGAAAAAUUGACAUAUUCAGUUUUAAAUUAGGUUCUUUUUAAAAUAAUUUCGUAGUGCAUGUAUUGGAUAAAGAUCCACUUAACGAGUAAAAUAUGUAUAUGAUCUUUACACUCACUAUGCUUGAUGGAGGGUUCAAGAAUGGUAUAGGAUCUUUUCUCCAACAAAAAAAAAAAAAGUAAUAAUUCGGAACAUGAUCGACAUAAAAAAAUUCGUGUUUAUUGGAGAAAAGAUCACAUGCCAUUCUGAACCCUCCUUCACCCAUGGUGAGUAUAAAGAAUAAUAUGUGUAUGUAUGAAUAAAAAUAAUAUAAAUUUAUUUUAUUGGUUUAUUUAUUGAUACUAGAAUCAGGAAUAAAAAUACUGAUUUAAAUUUAUUUUUUUAUUGUAUUUUUAUUUUAUUUAACUAAAAAAUAUAAAAUAUAUGCAGGCGUAAAAAUAAAUUUAUUUUAUUGUUAUUUCUAUUUUUUUAAAAUGGAUAGUCAAAUCUUUCAGAAUCAUCUUUUGAGCACUGAUGCUCCUGUUAUGAUAGUUUUUAUUGUUAUUUCUAUUUUUUUUUCGACUUCUAAGUUUUAAUUUGUUUUUUUUUUUAUAUAUGUUUUUGGAUUGCUAGUUGUUUCCUAGUAGAAUUAGGGUUUCUAGCAUGUAAAACCUCUUAAGAAAGCGGCGUCCAUAUACUUUAAUUUUUAAAUAAUAAAAUUAUGAAUCCAGGUUCACAUCUAUAAUCAUCUUUGCUUAUUAAAUCUUCUUUGUUUUUCUUGUGAUUUUUUUAUUGUUAGUGUAGUACUUCUAUUUAACUUGAGUAGUCUUUUAAGAACCCUGUAAAUUGAGUAGUUUUUUGCCUGCAUCACAAUCGGUAUCAACAUAAGCACUUCUAUAUUGAGUAGUCUUUUAAGAACGCUGUAAAUUGAACACUGAUCGGAGAAAGGACGCAAUUUAUAGACCUACUUUCGCACAUACGUUCUAACUUGUCUGUGUCAACCGAAACAUGAUCUCCCUUUUUCAUCAGCUCAGUUGUUGUUUCAACAAUCUCCGCGCGUCCUGUGAGUCGUUGAAUGAUUUCUCCUGUCAAAAUUACCAAAUCAUUUAUUAAUACGGAUGCGUAAACAAAUUCCAACACAUGAAAAUGUAAAAAGGAAAUGAAAAUAUCACACAAAUUAUUGUCAAACAAUCACAAAAAUAUUUGGAACGAAAUGAAUCUGAAUUAUUACACCAUACAUAGCUCUAAAUUACAAUUCACUAUCACUUCUUGUUCUACACAAAGUCUUCGUCAAUUUAGACUCUUCCGGCUAUUCACCAUCACUACUUGUUCUACACAAAGUCUUUGUCAAUUUAGACUCUUCCGGCUGGACCCCAAAUAAAUUACAAUUCACCAUCACUACUUGUUCUACUUUGAAUUUAGACUCUUCCGGCUACUCACCAUCACUACUUGUUCUACACAAAGUCUUCGUCAAUUUAGACUCUUCCGGCUACUCACCAUCACUACUUGUGUCUUCGUCAAUUUAGACUCUUCCGCCGGACCCCAAAUAAAUUACAAUUCACCAUCACUUCUUGUUCUACACAAAGUCUUCGUCAAUUUAGACUCUUCCGGCUAUCUGGACCCCAAAUAAAUUACAAUUCACCAUCACUACUUGUUCUACUUUGAAUUUAGACUCUUCCGGCUACUCACCAUCACUACUUGUUCUACACAAAGUCUUCGUCAAUUUAGACUCUUCCGCCGGACCCCAAAUAAAUUACAAUUCACCAUCAGUUCUUGUUCUACACAAACUCUUCGUCAAUUUAGAGUAAAAAUCAACAAUACUAAGCGGGGUCGGUUCCAACCAUGGAUAUUUGGUCACAAAAAUUAAAUGCCUUUAUAUGAAGAGAACUUAAAACUAGAGUGUAAAUAUUUUUAGACACUGAAACAGGCAGAACACAAGGUAAGAAAAGUUUCAGAAUUAUAGAAGCAAAAGAAAGUUAUGUAGAAAAUGAAACUAUAAAAUCUCCGAGUUUGUUUUUCUGGUUACUAAGAAAGACAGAAUAUCAAAAUAAAAUGAUUUUACUAUGCAAAUUUAUAUGAUUUAACUGGAGUUAAAAUAAUAUGAUUUAACUAAGUUAACCUGUCAAACCUGUAAUUUAUAUAAUUUGCGUUUGAUAACUUAAUAAAAAAUAAAUCUAAUAAUAAAUAAUAAAAUUAAACAAAAAAAAAUGAUUGAAAAAAAAUCAUAAAAAAAAAAUACAACACCACUCCAAUAAAUAAUGUUUUGUGAGCAGAGAUAAAGUAUAAUCAUUUCAUCAAAUUAGUUUAUAGUUAUAGUAUUUUCUAUUGAAUCUAGGUUUUUCCUGGGCACAUGACGGCCAAAUUGACGAAGGUUAUACUUAUAAUGAUUCCCUCUUUUGUAACUCUUUAAAAAUUGACAUUUUCAGUUUUAAAUUAGUUUCUUUUUUAAAUAAUUUCGUAGUGCAUGUAUUGAAUAAAGAUCCACUCAACGAGUAAAUAUGUAAAUGAUCUUUACACUCACCAUGCUUGAUGGAGGGUUCAAGAAUGGUAUAGGAUCUUUUCUCCAACAAACAAAAAAAAAGUAAUAAUUCGGAACAUGAUCGACAUAAAAAAAUUCGUGUUUAUUGGAGAAAAGAUCACAUGCCAUUCUGAACCCUCCUUCACCCAUGGUGAGUAUAAAGAAUAAUACGUGUAUGGAUGAAUAAAAAUAAUAUAAAUUUAUUUUAUUGGUUUAUUUAUUGAUACUAGAAUCAGGAAUAAAAAUAUUGAUUUAAAUUUAUUUAAAUUUAUUUUGUUAUUGCAUUUUUAUUUUAUUUAGCUAAAAAAUAUAAAAUAUGUGCAUGCGUAAAAAUAAAUUUAUUUUAUUUGUUUAUUCACUAAUGCUAGAGUCAGGAAUAAAAAUAUUGAUCUAAAUUUAUUUUAUAGCUACGUAAUAUUUACCAACGCCAGAGUUGGAAGUAUCCGUAAUUGAAUAUUCAUUGGUGUUAGAGCCAAGAAUAUUUUAAGAAAAUUAUCAUAGCACAAACUAAUAAACAUUUAGCAAUUUAAUCUGGUUAUACCUAGAGAAUCCGUCCAUGAAGGAAUAAGUUGAGCUUCUAGCAGCAUUGUCUACUAAGACAUCUAUAUGAGGCAAAGAAAAAUUAUCCUUUGGAUUAGCUUUGUUUAGAUCCUUGAAGUCCACACAUACUUUGAUUUUGUCAUCCUUCUUUGGUACUACCACUAUGUUCGAUACCCAUUGAGGGUAUUUAAUGACUUCUAGAAAACCAGCAUCCCACUGCUUCUUUAUCUCUGCCUUGACCUUGAGUAGAAUAUCCGGGCGAGUUCUUCUCAAUUUCUGCUUGACAGGUUUACAUCCUUCUAUCAAAGGCACUCUGUGUACUACAAUAUCAAUGUCUAAACCAGGCAUAUCUGCAUAAGACCAGGCAAACACAUCCAUAUACUCUUGUAGUAAUGAGGUUAAACUGCAUCUUUCUUCUGUAGUAAUCAGAGUUCCAAUCUUUAGCUCUCUUUUAUCUUGCUCGGUGCCUACAUUUAUCACCUCUAAUUCUUCUUUUGCAGGUUUCCAAGCAUGCUCAGACUGUUCUACCUGUCUAGUAAACUCUUUCAUAUAAUCUUCAUUCCAUUCCUCUUCAUCCAUUGCAAUCACAUCCUUAUCAAAGUUUGGCCAUUCAUUUUCAAUGCAAUAUGUUUGUGGAUUUAUGGAGGAUUCGCUUUCAGAACUCCUGAAAGGAAGGUGUUUUUAGUGUAAAUGCGUAUCUUGUAGCCAAACAAAAAAAAAGAUACCAAUUGUUGAAGAAAAUGCAUGAUCUCAAUAUUAUUUUAAAAGCUGACUCAAUAAUUAUGAAAAGACCUUAUGUUGACAUCUUGAGCCAAGAUUUCCAACUAGGUACAAAAACACAAAGCAAACUACAAAGCAAAGCACACAAAGCACAUAAAAGCAAAUAUAAGCAGACGCUUAUUCAUUACUUCUUGAAAACAACUGGGGCUUCUUCAAUCUCCCAAUUAUGGAAUACUUCAUCAACCGAAAGCUUUCGCACAAAGGCGUUGGUUGGAGCCUCUUCUAGAGAGUGGACAGUUAACUAAGGUAACAAUUCAUCUUCUUUUGUUGUUUUUGGCUCAUCAUUACAAUUCCAGCCUUUUCCUUCACCUUCCUCUACAUUGUUGAUAUCCAUGAAAGCAAGUUUCUGUCCCAAGACUUCCAUCAUGUUUUCAGGUUUCAUCACAUAUGCUGACUUUGGGAAAGAAACAUGGAUGGGUGGGAUUACAAUGUCUUCUUCUUCUGGCUUUCUUCCUUCCAUUCUGGCCAACCUUCUUUCUCGCUUAAUCCUAGCAGCUCUCUGGUAAUCAUCUUUCUUAGGCUUAAAGCCAAGCCCAAACCUCUGAUCAGCAGCCUUAAUUUUCAUUAUGUUGACUCUCUCAAGAUUUCCAGUAAUUGGAUCAUUCUGGAAUGGUAGCCCAUGUUUCAAAAAGCACUUAGCUAUCAUUCUGGCAGUAUCAGAAAUCAUUGGUCUUCUUAACACCGUAUUCUCUGGUACCCAUUCAGUGUUCACAAUCUCGAAGGCAUGGAGAUUUCCAUCUUUGCAAUCUUCUGCUUCAAUAUAAGGGACCGACACAUUCCUUAUCAUGGACAAGGUUUCUUCUGCCUUAACUUUACUAGAGUACCAUUGAUAAUGUACUUCAAACAUUGGUGUAGAGAUGAUGUCACAGCCCCAGCGGCAUGUAUCCAUGGCCUUCCAAUAACAUGUUAUACGAAGGAUGGAUGUCCAUCACUUGUAAGGUUAUCAAAAACAUCUGAGGCCCUAUAAACAAUUCAAUGUCAAUGGCCCCUAUCACCUGUCUAGGGAACCAUCAUAUGCUCUAGCUGUUAUGUGCUUGGUCUCAUGUAAGUAGCAUCAAUUGGCAUCUCAUCUAAUAUAUGCCUUGGUAGCACAUUCAACGCUGAACCAUUAUCCACAAGCACUUUGCCGAUCAAAGUCUUUACAUUUCACGGUGAUGUACAAAGGCUUGUUAUGCCCAGUCCCUUCCGAGUCUAGCUCAUCUUCUGUGAAGUAUAAGUAAUUAGAGGCUUGAAUUCUUCCCACCAAAUGUUCCAUUGUAUCUUGAGUAAUAUCCUGUGGCACAUAUGCUUCAUUCAACACCUUUUGCAAUGCUUUACGGUGUAACUCAGAACUCAAGAUAAGUGACAUUAAAGAGAUUCUAGCAGGAGUUUUCUUCAAUUGAUCCACCACACUAUACUCACUAUGCUUCAUCAACUUCAGAAAUUCAUUAGACUCGUCUUCACUUAUAGGUUUGUUCACUUCCAUGCCUUUAAAAGCAUCAACUAUCUCUUUUCCUUUAGCUUUCCUCUGCCUCUCUAAUUCUUCUGGUGUAAAACACCGACCACUUCGAGUUAAACCACCGAUUUCAGGGUGAAAGAUGGGAGUAGGGUUCUUAAUGUUGAAAGAAUACCCAUAAUUGUAAGGCAUUGAGCCAUAACUUUCACUGUUUGUGCAUACAGGCUUGGUCAGGAUUAGUUUUGGUGGACCACCCACAGUUGGUUGGAGUCUACAAACUUCCAUUUUUGUCUCCUGACGGCCUAUCAUCCCAACUUCACUGCUCUCUUCUUCACUCUCUAUCCUUAACAUGCCGAAAGUCAGCAUCCUUUUCACUUCUUGGUGAAAUUCUUCACAAUCAUCAAUGUGAUGUCCCACCUUGCCAUGAAACUUACAGUAGUUAUUUCCAUUCAUCACUGGUUCAAACUCAGAUAAAUAUCCAGACUGUACCAACAUACCAUACAGUCUUUCCAUGGAAACCUUCAAAACUCUUUCCUUCUUACCCUCCACUCCUACAGCAUUCACUCCUCCACUGCUUGCAGCAUGAUUGGGCAAAGGGUUGGACUUCACAUUCGGUGCAUCAUCAAAAGUUAUCCAUCCAGCUUUUAUCAAUUACAGAAGCUUGUUUUUAAAUGUAUUACAGCUUUCAAUGUCAUGCCCAGCAACGCCAGCAUGAUACUCACAUUUCAGAUCUGGCUUAUACCAAUUUGGGUAUGGAGUUUGUAGUGGGGUUAAGGGAACAGGGGUUACUUGCCCAAUACUCAACAACUUUGAGUACAUUUCUCCCAAGGGAAGUGGUAAGGCGUGGAGGUUUCUAAGUAACUUCUCUGUAUCAUCCUCUAAAAGUAGUGGUGGUAUUUCCAGUAUCCCUUUAUGAAAAUCAAAGUUCAUGUCAAAUAUUUUUUCCGUGGACCCCAACUUAAACUUGACUCCAGAUUGAUGGAGCUCCAUUGCACUCGGUGUGGUUCGAUUCUCAAGAGGCUGUGGCUGUUCCCGUCUUGCUGGCCGCUGACACUUUCUUAGAAAGUCAACAAAAUGCUCUACUUCAGAGGAAUUGAUUUGCUCCAAAAUGUCCUUUGGCACCCAUGAAUCCCCAAAUGUGCUUGAUAAGAAAUCACGAGUAAGCUCAAUCAUGCAAUAUCUGCCCUGUUUUUUGGAAAGCUUAAGCAAGUCGUCUAGAAUGAAGAACGGAAUCUGAUUUUCAAGCAAGCACGUGUCCAUCUUCAUGUCUUCUAUCAUCCACGAUUUACCGAAUAUACGGUCGUUGUUUCUUCGGAAGGCAGGGGAAAACUCUUUCAGGAAGACCAUAAUGAUGAAGGAGCUAUCUAGCAACAUCAUUUUCACAAAGUCCUCUGUACUAAUAUUUUCAAAAUUAUCUGCAUAACAGUUGCGCAAUGUUGUCUCCCUCUCUGCAAUAGCUGCAAUACAUUCCUUAACACUUACCUCACUCAGUUUAAGAAACUCUUGCAGGUAUAUUUUUUUAUGCUCUUCCAUUUCUUUCAGCUCUUCUUUUCCAUGGUGAAUGGGCCCAAUGGAGACUAGUUGAGGCGUGUAGGCAUAUUCCUUCGAGUCGCGUAGUCUUUUCGGGAGAAGGCAUGCAAGGCAUUCACUUAUCAGAGAAGGCAUGCAAGGUUUUCAACUCCCCUUCCACAGACGCUGUUAAUUUGUCAAUGUCAAGCGAAACAUGAUCAUUGCUUUUCAUCUGCUCAGUUGAUGUUCCG
rnacentral:lncRNA from 1 species